UGAGUUUAAGAAAUGUAAAACAUUUCCUCUGAAGAAAGGCAAGUGUGCUGAGUAUGUCAGAGGAUGCAGGUUUAAUGAUUUCCCUCUGUCACUUCUGUCUCAUGGUGAUCCUGUUACCAAGAGAGGCACAGUUGUUUCCAACAUGCAAUCCAUUUGCUCAGAACACAGUGGUUUAGUUUGAAGUGAAUAGUCCGUGUGUCUGUUAAAUAGUCUUUAUUGUCAUUCAGAAUGGAAAUAGUGUUUUCAGCCACGGUCUGUGCGUGAGUGCACUGUGGCUCUUUAGAGAAGAAGUAUGAGAAACUGAACAAUACUGUUUGCCAAGGUAACCGCAAGCACAGCAAUGGCUAGAACGGUGAAUAAGAAGAGGUUAUAAAGCUGAAGGACAGAGAGGGUUUAUGAAGUCAUCAUGCAGUAUGAACAGCCCAGAUGUUAUCACCGUCCAUACAUGGCAGCACUAUCUUAGUAGAUCAAACUUACAUUAGCUAGCAGAUUUUCUAAGUAUGAAGUUCAAAAUUUCCCAUUUAUUCUUAACAUUUUGAACAGCCAUGAAGAGUUCUCUGCAUCUAUUCCUGCUGCUGAGUAUAGAACAGCUCCAGUUAAUAUGCCUGUCAAUGAAAAUGUGUGCCUUCAGAUUUCAGAUCAAAUCACACCAAAUAAAUUAAAAAUUAGAUCAUUUUUAUUACAUGACAGUAGUGAUACUGAAAUCUGUCUCAUUUGGGGAAGCACUGAGGAGAAGCCUGAGUGUUUUAAGUGACUGGAACACCUUGGACCAGCUCUGACUCAGCUUCUACACACAUACACCUCUGGUACCACACCUACUCCUGUGCUGAGCAUAAGUGGCUUUCGGGAUAUUCACAGACAUGGGAAAGGCUGGCCACACUCAAUGCCAGGAUGGUUUCUCCAUGGCCUAAGCCACUGCUCCCUUAGCUAAUACCUUUCCAUGCCUCAGGUCCCCUUCCUCACCAGCUCCGUGCAAUCUCAAUCCGCUUCUGUGUCUGUGGAGCAUGUUCUAUGCAUUUCGUGGAAACGAACCUGUUCGCUUGGGGGCUUUCACUCAGCAUGGCAUCUCCAAGGUCAUCUGCACAGUGGCCAGGUGACAUGCCACUGUAUGGCUGACCUAGCUAGUGACCCUUUGAUAGGCAUUUGAGUUGCUCCUGACCUUUGGAUUUCAUGAAUUGUGGCACUCUGAACACUCGUGUACAAGUGUUUAUUUUCACACCUGCUUCACAUUCGUUAGAGUGGGUAUAUACAUAGAGAAGGGUCAUUGGAUGGUAUGGUAGCUCCGGGCUUAAACAUUUCAGAUGUACAGAAGUGAUUUCUAAAGCCACUAGGCAGUUUUAUAUUUCCCCCCACAGUGUAUGAGGGUGCCAGUUUCUCCCCAUCAUCGCCAACUAUACCUAUUAUUUGUCUUUUUUUUCCAAUGCUGGGAUUGAGCUCAGGGCCUUGCACAUAUUAAACCCUCUACCACCAAGCUACACCCCAGGCUGUUACCUGCUUCUCUGUCUGAGCCAUCCGAAUGAGUGUGGUGUCUGAGGGUGGUUUUCAUUUACAUGCUUGGAUGACUAUGCUGUUGCGAAUAUUUGCCUGAAUGUAUUAGACAUUUGCAUCGGUUCCUCAGAGAAAGGUUAAUCAGAUCCUUUACACAAUUAUUUAUUGGGUUGGUUCAACCUGGUGUUAACCUCAGCACUUAAAGUCUUGCCUGUCACCUGGGAUCUCAACAGCAGGCUUUUCUGUCCAAGAGGAAGCUGCCCUUCCUUCCUCAGGCAACCCCUCCUCAUCCUCUUUCCUUUCACUGCAUUCUCUGCAGGAAUCUUUGCCCAUUUCUCUGCUCUCUCUCCUUCUCUCUUCUGUGACUUCAACUGAGAAACACUCCCCUUCCCCUCCAAGCUGGGCUGUUGGCACCACGUUCCGACCUCUGUGGCUUGGGAAGGGCUGCCAGUUACUCACCACUUCUGUGCAGACUGCUGCCUUGGUUUUUUUUUUUUUUUUUUUGGUGCCAGGGAUCAGGGAUAGAACUCACGACCUCACAUUUGCUAAGCAGGCAUUUAUGCCGCUGAACUAAACCCCCGGCUCCUCAGUGUGCUUCUUACUCAGCCUUUGUGCUCUCAGGUGCUGAAGGCUUCCCAGAUGCUAGAGGCUGAAUGAUCCAGCACUCAGACCUCACACCUGACUCCAGAGCACAAGUGUUAAUCUCUAGAUCCUCUCGCUCUUACUACUCCAUUUUGCUUAUGGUUCAUUAUCAACUUGGUGUGAUGCCUUCUGUACUACAGGUUCACCAAGGCAGACCUCAGGUCCUGGCUUCCUGGUCUCUCUCUCCAGGUGUUCCCUGUGCCCUUCCUUUUUAUCCCAGCUCUCCCUUGGUCAUCUUUCAAAGCAGACAUCCCUUGCACCCUCUGGAAGCUGGCCCUGCACAGCUGGCCUAUCCAUAUGAGCUGGUAGGAAGCACCUGUGCUUCUCCCGGGGUCAACGGGCCCUGCCUGAGCUGACCAUGCAGGACUGCAGAGCAGCCCCCAUGUGAGUCAUUGCCAGGGUCCCUGUGGCUGAAUGAACAAGUGAAGCUGCCUGGACUCCAGAUGUCCCCAGUUAUGUGUGUAAAUGUUCUAGUUUUGCUUAAUAGAAUGAAUAAAUCAAUACAUAAUAUUUUCUUUACAAAAUGAGAUCUUUAGGCAUUUUUUGUAUGCCUAAAGAGGUUUCCAGUUGUUUUUACAGUAGGAUCAUACUUCAUUUCUAUAAUAGCAAAAUUCCUUAUAUUAAGAUAAAAAAGAUGAUAGCUAAGGUUUUUCUUCAUUCUCCUGAGAGGGAAAGCUAAGCUCCUGUUGAUUUAAAUGACCUGUUCCUCCAAAGUUGUAGUCAGGGGUUGUGAGGAGAACACUUAGAAUCAGGACACAGAAUUUAUAAUAUUAUUCUUGUUGAUCAUCCAAAGUUAACACAAGAAAGUGCAGGAAAUCUGUCUACAACACUGAAGACCCAGAAUAUUCAGCCAAGGACCUGGAUCCCACAGCAAUGUCCUGCAUGAAUCCAGAUGAAGACCUAGAGCCUAUGACUCCCACAAGACCACCUGGAGACCUAGAGCCCACGAGAAGGACUCAGGCCAGUCUGUUUUAUGGAUCUGCACUGGGAAGGCCCAAACAUCAGCAGUGGAAGCUAAAAAGUCUAUGACAGCGAGGUGAAGGGGCUGUGCUGGUAGGACAAGUUUUCCACACUAGAGCCAAGAAGUCAUGCUCAAAACAAGACCAGGGCUGCCCUGAAAAGCACCAUAGCCAUCCUCAGCGACACAGAGGCCACAAGCUCCUCCGACAGUAAGAACAGUGGAGUACAUGCCAGGAAGUCAGCAUGAUGAGUUUGUCCUGGAGAUUAAAUAGCACACAACUUCCCCCUAGGAGCCAGGAAGCCAUACUCAAUGUAAGGACCAGAGCUCCCCCAAAGUGAACCACAACCACUCUUACCAACGAGGUCCUGAGCACCUCUGAUGACAGUGGUUGAACUCACACUGGGAAAUCUAGUUAUGAAGAGCUCCUCCAGGAGAACCAACCGCUCAAACAGCAACACUUAGGAGAAGUCACCAUGCCUCAAUGCCUCCCUUCUCCUUCUCCGUGUCUCUACUUAUGCUGGUAACCUUCCUCAGGUGGGAUAUCUAAGCUCAGCACCAUGAUGAUUUAAUUCAGCUGGUGUUAAGUUGACCACUAAUACCCAAGAAUCUAAACUUCAUGUCACAAAAUUUUUCAAGCUGUGCUUUAUCAUUAUUAUUAUUAUUAUUAUUAUUAGUGAUUGGUGUUUUUGUUAGCUUUUUAUGCACAGAUCUCUCCUAGAGAGACAAAUGUUAUGAAAAGAAUUUGUAGUCAUUUUUCUGGGAUGUUCUCACACAGGUCUAUCAGUAGAACCUUCAGAUUUCUUCCUAAUGUCUCCAAGAACUCUGCCGAUGGCCCCAGAAUGCUUUAACAUACACUUCAUCUCACUAACCAGUGGGCAUCAGUGAGGAAUCGCGAUCCCUCUUGGAGUUUGGGAGAGAGCUGUUUUGUCUUUUCCUGGGCAAAGUCUGACUGUUUUCUUGUCUUGAUCCGCUGUUCUGUGAAGGAACAGCAGAUCAAGGCAUGUAACCCCUGUCAAUGGCUGGUGGGGGGGAUUGGAGACACUUCCUGUGAGGAGAUUUAUUUAAUAAGGUCGUUUUUGUUCUUCUGCCUAUAUUUUCCUCUGUGCCAUUCCUACUUACUGCUUCAAAUUGCACAGAAAUACCUCAAAAAUAAAAACGAGAUACAUGUGCUAUGCAUGUGCUAUGCACAAAGCAGCACACAGUGGAGGUCAGUGUGCGAGCUUAAAGGCUGUGUGAUGAUUCAGAGGAAGGACAUUGUUCACUCAGAAGUCUUGGGUUUGGAAUUCGACUCUUCUCCCCUUUUGACUGAAUGGCUUUCUCUUCCCAAAGGAAAAAACUCACUUGAGCAAAUGCACAUGCCCCUAAGCCCCUAAGUUAAUGCCCCUAAGCCACAGCUGCUUGGGGAAAAUGUGCCAUGCAAGCAGGGCAGCUUCCUGGGCAGCUGAACAGGAGCAGAGACUUUAGCCCCAAGCUUCAUCUCCGGAGUGACACCAACACCUUCUUCACACAGACAGGCCGUGAGCUCUUUUCUGUCUUCGACAGUUGAAUAAUUAAUUGCAGUACAUUUGUAAGGUUAUUAAAAGCUUGGUUUGGGUGGAGGAAAGUAAGGUACAUAAAACUUGCUUUUCAUUUUUUGUUUAUUACAGGCGGCUGUCAGUGCUGAUUUUAGUUCAUUUAAUAUUCUUGCUAAUAACAAGUCUAAUUAAGAAAUCCAUUAGAAGUCUGCAAAGUUAAUUUAACAGGGGGGAAUCCUACUGGAGUGUUAUUGGAAUUGCUUUUACUAAAAGAAUGCCGUGGGCUUUCAUGGGUGCUUAAUCAGGGUCUCUUAUCAUUUAUAUGAAUUCAUAUGAUGGAACUUGAGUAUUUUUGAAUGUUUAUUGUUUAAACAUAACUGCAAACAUUUUUGACUGUUUAUCUAUAUGUCACUGAAUAAGCCAUGUCUCCUGAUGCUGUCAGUUGCUAGAUUGUCAGUUUAGAAAUUAGAUAGCUUUACUCUGUAUAAAAUAUCUAGGGUGUGAAGGAAGACCAAAUGAUUUCCAUCCAUAAUGGUGUGAAAUACUAAAGUUCAAGCAAUGUCAGUACCAGUACCAAAGUACCAGUAGUUACUGUGGUUAUUGACACUGGAGUUGUCACUCAAUUGCAUUUCCAAAGCAACUUGAUUGCUUUUCCAAGGAAGUCUUUAUUUUUCACUUCCUGGUGACUAUGAAUAUAUUCUAUGUAUAUUACCAUAUAUACUAGAUUACUAAUGUUAUACUAUAUUACUAGCUUAGCAUCUAUUACUGCAUAAAUGUAUAACCUUUGAAUAUAUAAAUAUUUUAAUAGACAUGUGCAUUAAAAGUCUGUGCUCAUGACAAAGGAGUCCAAAUUUCAAACAGUUUUCAUGUAACAGAAGCAUGCUAAUUAAAUGCUGAUAUUGGAGCUCAGAGGCACUGUAUCUGAGUUGAUCAGAUAAUUUCCUGUAGGUUAGAUCUUGUCAGCCCUGCAGAGGCUAAAGGACCUGAACUGUGUUCCUUCUCAGGGCACUGAAGCUGUGUUUUGAGAAAUAAGACUUUCAUAUCCAGUCCUAGCCCCACAGGGGGAAAAGUCAAGCCCCAAAAUACUAUUGAUAAAUGCAAACAAUUGUUUCACAUUCGACUCAUUUCCUAACUGCACAUUUAUCAAAAUUUCUUGAACUAGAUAAAUAUUUCAUGGUUGAGUGCAAGAUGGUUGAUAAUAAUAGGUAGUUUUCAUGUGAUUCCUUUUAUCAUAAAAACUAACCUGUAGUGAUUAUUCACUAGAUUCCAAGUGCUAUGCAGAAUUUUUAUUAUCAUUGCAUGUUAUAAUUAUUACAGUAAACAUGCAGAAUAGAUAUGAUAAUCAUCUUACUGAUCAGAAACAAUCAGCAAAAUGUUCCAUACUUAUGCAGCAGUAUUUCCAACAGCUAAUGUAUGGAAUCAUUUGAGUAAUUCUAUAAAUGAAUGAACAAAAAUAGUGGUAUAAAAAUUGAAGAAAAAAUUCAGGAAAAUUUUCCUAAUUUCUCAGGUGAGCUCAGGUUUUCAACUGAGACCUGACUUUAAUGACUGAGACUGAAAAUACACAUUUCACAAAGAAACAAGAUCUCCAUUUAAGGUCAUUUGAGAACUAGAAAUCCAGAUGGAUCUUUCACAAAGUUAGUUCAGAAAGUAAUUGACCCUCAUUCCAUCAGAACUCAGAACCAAGAUUUCAUCUUGAAUGUGAGGAAAAUAAACAUUUUCUGCCACACAGGCUAGUGACGAUCCACUGCUCUCCGUAUGGGAACACUUCCUCACUGAUACCUAGGAUGCGCGCAGAAAUCUGUGAAGAAAAGCAGCUCAAGAGUCACUGCUUUUUCAUCAUUCCUGAAAGCCUCACAAAGACAGUGCCACUGGAGAAGUGAAAGACAUUUCCAAAUCAAAGAAAUCUGUCCAGCAGAAACAACAGGUCCCAGUUACUCCUGGCUUCAUCAGUACCUAAAAAGGAGUUAAAUCUAGGAAAUGGAAGUCUUAGGAACAUUGGGCACUUUAUAUUCGGUCUGAAAUCUCUUUACAAAAUCAGAAAAUUUCAUUUGUAAAUUGAGAUUCUCGGAGACUGGGAACUGCAGUUUGCCACCAUCCUUUGUCCUUUUUGCAUCACCACCUGUAUGCACCUGGCCGGAGACAGUGGUGUGCCCGCCGGGACCCUCAUGGUUUGUGAACACCUGGAUUCCUGCCCUGGUUCAGUAACUUAGGUAUACUUCUGAUGGUUCCAGAGCCUGAGAUUCCCACAGAGAAAGUCAAUUCUUUCAGCUCAAAUGGAAACUUUUAAAACUGCUAUUGAGAUGUCAGAGUGAAAUCAGUCCCCUCCUACUGCAGGAAUCAAAGAUGUAGAGUAGAUGCGCUCCACCAAGAUCCUCAAGUGGAAAGAGGACACACACAGCCCAGUCACUAGGCAAGCUAUAAUAAAGCAAGGGUCAUCAACAUUACAUCUCGAUUUUAAGAUUAACUACAAAUAUAAGAAAGCUAUGCCUUCGAGUUAAGGUUCAAAUCAAAGUAACACAAUCAUGAUGUGUGACUGAAAAAGAGAAUGACUGUUAACCUUUAAAAACGGUUUACAGUCUCAGAUGCACUUGCAUGAAUUCCCCUCAUCAUAGUCCCCUCCUUUCAGCCUCUCUUACCCCACAUUCUUACCUCUUUCUGAAAGUCUUUUUCACGAGUGUCUCUACUUUCACUGUCUUGACUGCCUCAGUAUUCUGAAGUGAUUCAAAGCCUUCAACUUUCACAGUCAUUUUGACUUAGGACAGAGCCAGAAGCUCCACGAUGCUAGGUCUUGUGAAUAAGUGCAUGGGGAUGCACCAUAAUCUAUUUUGGGGCCUGCCUUUAAGAUGGAGGGCAGCCCACAGAGACAUUCAUCACAUUUUUUAUAUCUCACAAGAACACGUAGGAAGGGGGACUUCCAAAACUGCUGCAGGAACUGGCAGGAAUGAUGGGACAAAUGUGCCCAAAAUGAAGGGAAUUCGUAGCAAUGUGGGCUUUGCCGUAUUUUUAAAAAUUUAAACAUGCACGUAGGUGCAUGUUUUUUCAUGCUUGUAUUUCAGCUAGUCCUUCUACGCCACAGAGCAUACCUAUAAAGAUGGUACAGCUUCUGCUUACGGGCCGUGACAGGGCUAACAUGUGCCAGCAGAUGUUCUGGCUUGUGGUUGUGUGGUUGUUUGAGCGAAGGGUUCUUCACACUGGUGCUCUAUGCUUUACAUUCAAACGAUGGUUCAUGCUCCAUCCAGAAAAGAAUAUUCCGUGCAGUAGCUCAUCCCACUGCAGGUGUGGGUUUCCUGGUCACAGUUGGUGUCAGAAUUGUCACAGUCAACACUUAGACCAGAGUCCUGAUGGGGAUAAGAUUUUUACAGUUUCAAACCUGGGUUUGGUGACAUGUAUCUAUAAUCUCAGCACCUGGGAGCUGAGGCGGGAGGAUCACUGUGAGUUCUGGGUCUUCCUGGGCUACAUAACGGGUUCAAGACAAACCUAGAAUGCAUAGAGAGGUGCUUCUCAAACUACAAAACAAAAAAUCAAAACAGAUUUUAAAGUUUCAGUUUAAAAUUUAUAUGUAAUUUGUUUUCAUUUAAUUUUAAUAUUUUAGUGAGCAUCAUUUUUCUGUGGUUUCUUACUAGUUUUGCUGCUAUCUAAUGUGAUUUUUUAAUGUCUGCUAGAGGCCAGCAUUUUGUCUUUGGUUAGUGUAUUUGCAACUUUAUGUUAGAAACUGGAAUAGAAAUAUGAUUUUGUUCCUAAAUUAAUUUCUAAACUGCUAAUUUUUCAGGGACACAUAUAUAUUUUCUGCAAAUUGAAGCUCUUAAGAAUUUCAUUAAUAUCCAAGGCUAGUCAGUUAUAGGGACCAGACAUACAAAAUAGAAAAAUGAAAGUUAGAAUGAGAUCUAUGAGAAAUAAACAUUUUAAAUAGUCCAUGUCAAAAGAAGUAGGAGUAUAAAUCUUUCAUGCACUGUAUCUUGAUUAAUUGUCCACUUAUUCAUGAAGAAUCAAUUUGGAUUACAUUAUACUAGAAGCCUGAUGUUUUGCCUAAACGGGACUUUCAACAUUUAAUAAGUUAAUUUUCAUGUUUAUCAUCACUGGGUGAACAUCUCCUUAGAAUGAGUGCUUUCUGCUUACCUUUUUUUUUUUAAAUGCAAAAAAAGUUUUAAAAAAGAUACAGAAUUUCAAAAAAUAAUAGAACAUUAACAAUGGUUAGUAUAUUACACUGAGGAAAUAAAGAAACCAAAGUCUUUUAAAGUUCUUGACGGACCCUCUUAAGAACCAUCCUUGAACAAGAACACGCCUGGCCUGGGGUGGCUCAUGGGAACCAGCAGGAAGGGGCGAGCUUUUACUGUAGCUCCUCGGCCGGAAAUCCUCUGGCUUCUCAGAGCGGCUUCUGUUCCCUUCCUCCUUAUUCUCUGGCACUUUGCUCUUGGUUGCCAGUGGGCAGCCUUCACCAACCCCCAGCACUGCGGAGGUGUUUCUGCAUGAUACACUAGCAUGGAGAUCAAUUAACAGUAAAGCAUUCUUCAGAAGUGCUUCUUGAGUAACCAUUUGAGAGGAAAAAAAUUCAGUUAAGGCAGUGCACUCAGUCAGUUUUAAUGUAAAUCAAAGUGUGGAAAAUGAUGCCCUAAUCACCUAGAAAACAAACACUGAUGCCGGAAUGCGAAGUAGCAUUGAACAUUGUAAAAGAAAUGAAAAAAGUCCAGAAGUGCAAGGUCCAAUCAAAAAAGUGGUUAGAAGCUGGAAAGUUAUUUCCAGCAUGUGUUUGCAGCACACAGGCAAACAAUCAGCAUGUGGAGGGAAAAGACGGGGGAAUGGAAUGGCACCUCACAGAAGGGAAUCAUGCACCUGUUCAACAUGAGUUUAACCCAAAGUACAAUUUUGUGAUAUUAAAUUGAGUAGAGAUGGAACAGUGCUGAGGGAGUAUUAAGAAUGAGUGUUCAUACCUCUUCCUCAUUGAAGGCCUCAUUAAAUAUGUGUUAACAGCCUGACCUCUUUGACUCUACCUCCUCUUUCAGGAACGCAUCUGGAGAAAGUAUCUGAGAUGCAGAUACUUCAGAAAUUCAGUAGAGAAUUACAUGUAUGAGAGCACAAGGUUUCAUUCCAGAGAUUUUGCACACCUAAAACUUCUCAGUGAACACCACAGUAACAAGUGGCAGUACCCGUUGCAUAUUUCUGGCAUUUGUGUGUUUCUCUUUAUUAUUUCUGAAACUGUAUUGUGAACAUGGUGAAACAGUUUGGAGUUCAUUUGCUUGUGUUUCUUUAUUGUCAUCUGCCUUGCAGAGACCAUUAGCUGCAGUGUCUGUACAGACUCCAGUUGCUGCAAUUAUUGGAGAAUUGGUAUUUUUUUUUCUAUAUGGAUUUAGUGACCUGCACUUUUGCUUUUCCUGUUUAUUGUGGAAGAACAGCUGGGUUGCUCAGGCUAUGGCACUCAUGUGGAAGGAGUCCACUUCUGCAUGCAUACACCUGGAGAAGAAAGAAAUAGUCACAGCCUGUAUAUCAAAGCCCACAUCAUAUUUCAGCCUUAGAAAUGUUGAAAUAAAUUUCUUGGAUGACACUGCGUUGCCUGCAGUUGUAUUGUCCUCAGUCACUGGUGUUCUGCUGAGCACUCUCUGGGUGUCACAUUCUGCAGGGCUGUGGGUAUAGUGCUGACCAGGUCCCUGGUUUAAUGCCAGUGUGGGGAUCAGAAGCAGACUGGAAACUAAAUGUGCAGAAUUAACCCUUGGGACAGACUCCAUGAGGAGAGGAGAAGGGGUUUCUGGGAGUUUGUACUGUGGUGGAGCUGGGGUGCCUCAUUGGAGAGGCUGUACCAGCCUUACAGCAGAGCCCCGCACAGGCUCUGAGAGGCUGGGAGCCACCUGUGCAGCCCCCUGCGCUGGGUGGGUGAUGGCUGCAGAAUCUAGGCUCUGCUUCCCUGGCUGUCACCCUCACUGUGUACCUGAGGGAUGAGGAUGGCAGGUAGGGCACAGUCUGUGUUUGGGUUAGGUCCUGUUCACAAAGCCACCUAGCAACUCCACGAUCUCCCUGUACAAUGAGGCACCUUGCUUAGGAGGGCUCAGCGUUCUGGCUCUCUUGGAAACUGCUGAGCUGCCUGCCUGUCUGCACUGUUUGUCCUUAUGAGGUGAUCAGAUCUUGAUUCGGGCUCUGAAGAGGGGUGACAAAGGCCUUGGAUUCUCUACUCCUUUCCACCUCUCAUGGGGAAGCAACUCCUCUCAGAAGUCAGAUGUGCAGUUUGUUCUUUUCUGACAGUGAAGAGUAGAUGCGAGGAUAGAGGAGGUAAAGAGCAGGAAAGAUGCAGAGAGAGAAGCUCCUGAGAGACAGAAGAGGUCCUCAGAGUGGGUCACAGUUAGGGCUCUGCAUCAAGAGUAUUCUACACAGUAAAGUCCCAAUCUGGGUAGCAAUGGAUCAAAGCAUAAGCAACCUACCGGUCUACAAGUGUGGUUCCUUGGGCAACUUUGAACCAGCAGGGAAGUGAGCAUGCACCAAGGGAACCAAGUGAGCAUCCAAGUUAGCUUGUUGGAAUGUCUCAUGUAAAACAAUGCAAUCCUAAAAGAGAUGGGGCCUGGGCAGGGGACUUCUGGUCACCCACCUGGAUUCUGUCACCCUAUCUCAGCUCAUUGGACCAGGUAUGCUAAUUGCAGUGUAAUCUCAAGCUGCCAUGUAUCUCUCGGGUGGCUUACAGGCCUGGUUAUAUUUUGAUGGACUCAUCUCCCACACUCCCUCCUUUGAAAGCCCAAGCCCUCUCUGGAAGCCUAUUAGUUUCUACCUUGCUCCGUUGUCUACAGUGCGACCCCUGCACAUGCAUAGCAUCAUUGACGGAGCUGGGAAGUGUUUGGCUGCUGCUGGGCAGGUGGGCAUCCCAGGAGAGCUGGUUAGGGGCUUCUCGGGAAUAUCAUCCUAGAGAGAGGAUUCUAGUGCUGAACUAACAUGCUCCACUCAUGCAGCAUGAGGCCUGGGGCCGAGGGAAGUCAGAGGGACGAGGAUUGGGGAGUGCUGUGGAGAAAUUUGCCUGCUAUCUCUCUUGUGGGUUAAGCAAGUGAAACACAGUGCAAAUGAACAGAUAGGGCUGCAGUCUGGAAUGUUCCAGAAAGGACGUGCUGGGCAAUCCAUGGGAACAUGAUGUACGAUCUGUACUUCCAUGGAAAAUAUGCAGGGCAAGCUGGGAGGAAGACUCCAGGGGCAACACCACAUGGCUUUGAGAUAGAAACUCAUGCCACUAACUAUUGUGCCCUCUUCUAGUCAUGAAAAUAUUCAGUCCUGCUUUGAUUUCUUUGGUUACUUGUGCAGUUGUAUUCUCAAAUUUUGAACAACACAUAAGAGUGGCUUAAUACAGUAAUGGACAUAGGGUCCUUUGUUGUACACCAAAUGAGUCCUUUCUGUGUGAUCAACUCCCUGCUGAAUUCAACAGCAGCUGACACCAUCCUGGCUCACACUGCCCUCUCUUCCUACAUGGGAUGCUAACUGGGGCUUUCCAUGCUGUCUGCUAGUACCCAACUUUCUCUGCACUGUGGCUACUGCUCCUGGAGGCAGGACAAGCUCCUGUGAUGCCCUGAAGGUGGGAGGAGUUGAGAACCUGGCUGUCCCAGCCAUUUCCAAAGAUGGAAAGGAAAUGAGACUCAGUGCAUGCCUCUGUCACUGCACAGGUUUUUAUUCAAAAGAAUUCAGUGCCGCCAAAAGAGCAUCAGUGUCACACAGUUAAAAUGUGUUUGUGUAUUUUUAAACCAAGGUGCAUGGUUUUAUUUUCCUAUGAGAUGAAGUUGCUAUUUCUUACAUGCAUAAGCCAGUGAGCACACUUAAGAAAAUAAUUUUCCUAAUCAGAUAAAAUACAUUGGUUUAAAAUUACCAUUACAACCUAUAAAUUGUUCUAUUAUUGUUUAAAUUAGUUGCAUAGACAUUAUUAAAUAAUGUGCUAGUAAUUUAAGAAUGUCUGUGUUUAUAUACAUUUGCAUGUAAUUAAGUUGUUCUUUCAAUUACAUUAGCAAUGGCCACAUUCAUGUUAAUGUAUCAGUUAUGUUCACAUUUCUUGGUACUAAACUACCUGCUUUUGAAGUACAAGAAAUAUUUUUUUUUUCUUGAAGUUUUUUCAUAUUGAAGCCACACUUCUGUUUUUAGCUACUAGCAAAGAAAAGUUGUGUAUGUGUAGGGGGAUAGGGGAAAUAUCAUGCGUAUAUAGAAUUAAAUUUGUCCUAACUGAAAAUUAACCUUUUAAACUUCAAGAACUGAGCAUGUCUGUGCAGCUUUCAGAACUGCAUUUCUCCCCUUUGGACACUGAGAUUUCCUCUGCAUUUCCUGGAGAUUUCCUUUGAAACCUUCUGCAGAUGUUCACAAUCUAUCCCAGAAGGGCCCAACUACAGCAGGGCUAACAGAGCUGUCCCAAGCCAUACUCCUUUUCCCCAGCACAGAGACCCCAAUCCCUGUGGGUUACCAGCUCCAAUUCCUCCGACGAAGACCAGCACAUACUGUUCUACCUGACAUGUUUUGCUUUUAUUCCUGUACUACGUAUGGCAGUAAGAAAAUCAUACUGAACCUUUCACUGGGUUUAAUUAGAAAACCCCAAAUGAUACAUUGCAAAUAUUGUGGCUUUAUGAGUCAUCUUGCUUGAGUUUUAGUCCUCUUGUUCCAGAGUGGCAUUGGAACUUCAGCAUAGUGUCAGCUGUGUCACAGCACGGUUAAACCACACCUAUUCUCAAUUUACCUUCCUCCUGGUCCUUAGCAGACAAACACUAUCUAAGCUGUCUCUUGUCCGAAAGUGUUUUCACGGCACACUUUUCUCUGAGUGCACUCACCAGCUGUUUCUUCAUCGUGGAGGAUCUUUAGAAAUCAGGCAGCUCCUCCCUAAUUUUGAAUGCUUUAAAUUUAAGGAUUUUUGAACAAUAAAGCAUGAGUUAGAUUUUGUGUACAUGACUAAUUCUAGGCCUGCAGAUUCAGAUUAUAUUUUCUUGUUUCACCGUUCAAAUUGGAUCAAUUCUGUUGUAAAAGCAAUUCCUACCACUUCUUAAGGUCCCUUGCUAAACAACAAGUUUCAAUUAUUUGUGUUCCUAUUAUAAUUUUAUGAUUAGAGUGCAAUUCAAUCCUUUGACAUUGUCAGGCUUACUGUGUUAUUGUUGAAAACAAUUCAUGAGAUGAACAAUUCACCCUAAAUUAUCCACAAGAAUAGGCAUCCUUGAUAGCACUCCCUUAAAUCUCCAUUGGUGGACACCUCGAUAGAAGAGAGCAACCAGGGCACAGGCAUCAGGGAAAAGGCAGGAGAGAGAAACCCAGCAGAGAAGCCUGAACGCUUUCCUUCCAUGGAUCCCGAUGGAGGAUGCCAGCACAAAGACAGCUUCUGGCAGAGAGAGAAGACUGGGUUAUCCUAGAAACAUACACCAAUUUGUCUGAACACAUUGGUGUUCCUGAUAAAAGUAGAGAUGGAGGAUAAAUAGCUCUUAUUACAUAAAAGGCAGGAAAAUCUGGACAACAAGAAAGAAAAUCUAGACAACAGGGGUGGAACCUGGGCUAUAGUACUGGUCUAGGACUAGUAUAGUACUGGCCUAGCACAUACAAGGUCUUGUGUUUGGUUCCUAGCACCACAAAAGUAGAAAGAGAGAGAGAGAGGAAAAUAGAUAGAUGAUAGCUAAAUAACAGAGAGAAAUGAAAUUUACAACUCUUGUUCUGUGAAAGACAAUGCAAAUAUUAACCACAAGCCAUUAAAGCAGAGAGGGAUUAUUUCUAAAGUAUUUAUCAGAUGUAUUCAGAAUAUUAAAGACUGCUCAUAACUCAGCAGAAUAAGAAAAACAAUUUAAUUUUAAAAUAGGAAGAAAAUAUGAGGAGAUAAACAUUUAUCUAACAGGAUGUAUGGAUAAUAAGUAAGUACAUGAGAAGAUCAUUAGCCAUUACAGAAAUGCAAAUUUAAUAACAGUAAGGUACCACAACGCAUUAGAAUGAGUAAAAUUAAAUGUAUAUUAAAUGUACACAAUGUAAAAUUAAAUAUAAACCACUGUGUGCUGAUAAAUAUGUAAAGCAAUCUUUAAAGCAAAGUAGCUCAAAAAUAGCACCACACAGUAGGGUGCUUCUGGAGAAGAGUUUGACAAAUUCUUGCAAAAUUAAAAUUAAUUGUGUAUUUUAUCGUCUGUUCUACAUCAGCAUAUGUAUUUGCGUAUGUUUCUAUGUCGAUGAUACCUGUACUCCAUUUGUAGGUGUCCCAGUAUGAAAUCAUAGAUGUAAGGGUUAUAUCAGGGAGAGAAAGCAUUCCCAAAACAUGCAUACUUCUUCCUGCUGAUAGGCCAUUCUGGAAAUGGGAGGGCUGCGGAAACAGUAGAGUAAUGUCUGCCACUCAGUACUGGAGAGGAGAUGAUGUGAUUUUAAAGAACUGCUAUAAGGCGGUUUUGGGGGUUUUGGGGAUUGUAGUGUAAUGAUGGUGGUUGUAUCAAAGCAGUGAUAUUUAAGCAGUGCAAACACAAAAAUUAGUUUAAUUGCAAGUUAAUUUAGUGGAUGUUUUCUUGAAAAGUUCCAGAGUGGCUGACUUCUGCAGUUCAGCUCCUCCAAAGCCCUGAGGAGCAGCAGUCAGACCCGGGUGUGAACCUGUGAAACUCCCAUUCUCUCUGCCUCCUGGGAUUUACUUUCUUCCAGAGAUCAAGUUCUCAGCUGUUACUCUGAGAUGUUUAAACUCACAGCUUUCAAGCUUGCAUCUGCUGAACUCUGGCUCUGGAAAUCAUCUGAAGUGGAGAAUGUGUAAACAUUACAUAUACAGGAACUCUGCAGAGAGCAAUAUUUCCUUCCUGAACCUGAGGUUUUGAGUUCCUUAAACUGCCCAAGUCAAGUAAACAUCUAAGCCGUCGUCUUUCCUUAGUAUCCUGCUUUCCUCGUGAAUCAGGCCCUCGAUACCAAAGAUGCUCUAAAGACCUUACUGCAGAGUGCUUGGAGGGGACUUGGGACCAAGGAAGAUUCAAGUACUGAUUGUCAUUACUUGGUGUUCUAAUUCCAUUUUAAAAAUCAUCUCGUCUACCUUCUGUCAUGGUGCCCUUUCCUUAUUUUUCUGUUCUUUGGCUGAUCAUUCCAUUCUAAACUCUUCUAUAAGUUUUUCUUCCACUCUCAAAAUGGUGGAACAUACUGACAUUUUAUUAAAGUAGGAGAAAUUUGGACAUGUAGACAUUUUAUAAUGUAGAGACUUGUCACUGUUGAUUCUCUCCUUUCAAACGCGUUUUUCUUGACAAAGGGCGUUAGUCAUCCUGGCUUUGUCUCACAGUUAACCCUGGAUUUGGCAUCUGAGUCUGUGCCCUCUGCUCUGGUCUCAUUGACUCCACAGCCCAUUUCCAAUCAUCUGGUGCAUCUUUGUGUCUUUCCUGGACUUUUUGGAAAUGUGUAUUUGGACAGGUUUGUAUGUAAAUGCACAAUACUUUACUUGUAAUGUUCCCCGGGAUGUAGCACAAACUCUGUGUAGUAGAAAACUCAUUCUUGCUGAAGAUAAGAAUAGAAAUUUUCAUCCAUUAGUGAUGGAAAUUUAACCUUAGCACAAAUUUUGAGUAUAAAUCAUUAUCUUGGGGAGGGGUGAAAACAAACCCGAAACAUUAAAAGCAUUCCCAUGUCUGUCAGUAGAGGAUUAUCUACAUAAGUCAAAGGUAAUCUUUUAUAGUGCAGCUUUUUCUAGCCUUUGUAGGUUUAUAUUUAUUGAUAUAAAAUGCAUCCUUAUAUUUUUAAAUCGCAAUAAGAGGUUGCUUCAUAACAUAUGUUAGGAUUGUUUUAUUUUUAUUAGGACAGAUUUGCAGGACAUAGUGAGCACAUUCACUGUGGGGAGUGUGCGCCUGGACCCAGCACAUCUUUGUUCUUCUUACCCCCCCCCCUUCUUCUCGCUUCUCUCCACCUCCCUCUAUCUCUAGCUCCUCUUCCCAUUGGCCAAAGAUCUACUUGUUUAAUAUUAAUCUUCCUAGGCUUCAUAAGAUAAUCUCUUUCUUGACCAGAAAUGCAUCCCCAUUGGAGGAUGAAAUCUAAAGACAAAUGUGUUCUUACCUUUAUCUUCAGUGUGCCCAUUAUGCAGCCUGCCUUCAUCCCAUUUGAGGGUGAUCCUAACUGUCUAGACACCAUUCAUAGAGCCCAGGGAAACCCCCUUUCAGAGCACAGCCUGUCCUGCUCCAGUGCCCUGCCGUAUGGGAGCUUUGUGGCUUGCUGUGUCCAUAUUUCUGAGGAGAGACUGAGGCCGGCACUGAAUCUCAAUGUCCCCACUCUGUGGUGGUGUGUGUACAGGUGCAGCUUGCAGCUGGGAUUUGGGCACACCUCAGACUGCUCAGCUGUGCUACCCUGAGAAUUGCGGUGCCUGUGGUGGCUGCAACUGGGCAGUGACGUCUUGACAUUCCUGAGUGUCCCAGAGGAGCAGCAAGUGUUGGAAAACAGCUUUGGAUUAACCCCUCCUUAUGAUUCUCUUUCAGGAAUUUUCCCUGGAUAAUUUUAUGACUAUUGUUUUCCUCUGACAUAUUUUCCUCUUUUCCUUUGGUUUUCUCUGACAUAUUUUUCUCUUUUCAAACACCACCGCGUUAUCCACUCUUGCAGACCAUGAUCGCCAGCCUCCAGUUUGAGAUGAAAAAGCAGAAAAUGGAACUAGUUUUUGAUGUGUUGGGGUUGUGACUUUAAACUCUUGAAUUUCUCCAAUGUGUCAUUUUGGGCAAAAUUUAUUUCAAAAGCAUUUAGAUACUGCAAGAUCUCCUAGAAAAGAUCAUAGAUUCAAUAUUCUCUCUCAGAUACUGUGAUCUGAAGGAUAAAGUGAAUCUGUGAUGAAACCUAGUGGUGCUCUAUAGAGAGAAACCUCAGUGUACUCAAAAAAUCCUGGAAAAGAUAAAAAAUAUGACAUCAAAACCGAAGGAAUAAGCUAAAACCACAAUGAAGAGAAAUGUUCAUUUGCAGAGGUGCUGAUGGAUUGAGUUGGUCGGGCAGAAUGACAGAGUACGAGGAAUAAAAGUAGUCUUCUUUUCAGCAGUGUGCAUGAAGGGGUGUGGAGCCCAAGAAAGAGAUGCAAUAGGGUAAGGCAGGAAAAGAGGACUUGAUUUUGGAAAUUUCAUUUUCUUUGCUGCCACUUGAUAAGUGUAUUAUUUUCUCUUUGCAUUGCAAGAAGACAGGAUGCUGUCUGAACAGGGUUUACCUCCUUAUGAUCUAAACCAGGAUUUUUAACUUUCCAGUGUCUUGGAAUCUUGGGAGACCUUAUCCUUGAAAGAGGAAUAUAGUUUGAUUCUGUAUGGGUGAAAGUUGUAUGCUUGUCUGUGUGUGCUUGUCCCUUUGUCUGCGUGUGUGUGCGUGCAUGUGUAUGUAUGUGUGCGAGUUAUAUAUUAAAAACUGGUGGUCAGCUUAAUGCCAGCAGAUUAAAUCAAAAUGGCGCUGAGCAUAGAAGUUUCACCUAAAAAAGUUGCCAGCAUAAAUAGAGUGGGGAAGGAGAAGGAAGGCAUUGAGGUGUUGAGGCACUGAAGCAUUGUGGGUUCUCCUACGUGUUACUGUUUGAGCCAUUGGUUCUCCUGGAGAAGUUCUGGUCCUCACAUUGAGCAUCCCUUCCUGGCUUCAGAGGGGAAAACCUGUGCUGCCUGGUCUCCAAAAUGAAUUCGUCACGCUGCCUUCCUGGCAUGUACUAGACUGUGCUUAUCGUCAGAGGAGCUCAGGGCCUCUGUGUCGCUGAGGAUGGCUGUGGUGCCUUUCAGGAGACCCCUGGUCUUUGUUGUGAGUGUGACUUCUCGGCUCCAGUGUAGAACCCUCAACCUACCAGCACAGCUCCUUCACCCCGCUGGCAUGGACUUUCUGGCUUACAUUGCUGACCUUUGGGCCUUCCCGACAUGGAUCCAUAAAAGAGACUAGCGUGAGUCCUUCUAGUGGGCUCUGGACCUCCAGUUGGACUCUUGGGAGGCAUUGUCAUGAGCUCUGGGUUUUUAUGUGGGCUCAUGUGGGACAUUGCUGUGGGAUUCAGGCCCUUGGCUGAAUAUUCUUGUCUUUAGUGUUUUGGACAGAUUUCCUGCAUUUUCUUGUGUUAACUCUGGGUGACCAUCAUAAAAUAAAAUUAUAAACUACAUGUCCUGUUUUUAAUUGUUCUCCUCACAACCCCUGAGUACAAUAGUAUGUGUGUGCAUGUGUGUGCAUGUGUGGAGCUGCCUACUCUUUCAACCUCCAAGGCCUGUGUGUGUGUGUGUGUGUGUGUGUUGUAGAAGCAGAGUGCUUGUGGAAGAGGAGCAGAACUCAAACCUGUCCCUCUGUUCCCAGACAGUUCAGGAAAGCACAGUGUCAGAAGCAAUCUGUGAAUUGUUGUAAAAUUCUCUUUUGUGUAUUACGUACCCAUCCACUUAGUUUAUAAUGGUUGCCUUUUGCAGCUGUCUUUUAACUCAGACAGGAAAAACUAAGCAAUUACAAAAAAUACAUCUAGAAUUCCAUGCAUACUUAAGUAGUAAAAUUUACUUGUGUUCUCCAAUUCCUCAUGUGGAUUUGGGUUCUUCCUACCAUCCAUCCAUCCAGAGGAACUUCUCUCAGUAUUUCUGGUAGACGAGCCCUCACUGUGAUGGAAUCUCUUUUAUCAGGAGAUGUCUAGGAUUCUCUACUUUUUUGAAAGAAAGUUUUGGUGGAGGUAGAAUUCUUGGUUGACAGACUUCUCCUUUCAGUUCCUUCAACAUAGUGAGAUUUAAUAUUCCUUCUCCUUAAUAUCCUGUACUGCCUACUGACUUCCAGGGUUUCCAAUGAGGAAUAAACUAUUAAUCUUAUUGAAAAUCUGUUUAAUAAGGAUAAUUUCUCUGUGGCACCUUUCAGCAUUCAAUUAUGAUGUAUCUUCAUGUAAAUCUCACUUUGUUUGACUUAGAGCCUUGAGCUUCUUGGAACUGUAGACUUGUCUCUUAUUAAAUUUAGGAACUUUUCAUGCAUUAUUUCUUAAGGUAUUCUUUUUUCUCUUCCUUAUUAUACCCUUUUUUCUGAAGCUUUCACAAUAUUUAUGAAAUAUAAAAGACCUAAUCUAGGACAACAAAAUGAAAGAGGGCAUCAGUAGAGCUAAAUAGGAAUACAGUUUGUAUGCAUUGUACUAAAAUUAAUUUGACAUUAAUACAAAUUAGAUUGUGAUAAAUUAAUAUGUUGCUAAUUUUCAAGGCAACCACUAAUAAAAUAAUUUUGAAAUACAUAGUAAAGCAAAAUAUGAGAAAAUCUCAACUUUAAAAAUACAUAUUUUGAAUAGAAGAAUAUGUUAAUGAAAGAAGUGAGACGAAAGGCAUAGCACCCAUAUCCUUGUUUGUAGCAACACAAUUUAUAACAGUGAGAUCUUGGUGAUCACAGAUAGAUAAAGAAAAUAUGGGCUGCAUGGACCACUGCUCCAUAUAAACAAAGAUAAGUUAAAAGUUGGUGUUUAUAGGGCUGGGGAUUUAGCUCAGUGGCAUAAGCGCCUGCCUUGUAAAGCAGGCAGUCGUGAGUUCGAUCCCUGGUACUGAUAAAAAGCAAAAAGACAAAAAAAAAAAAAAAAGUUGGUGUUUAUUAAAUAACUCAUGUUAAUUUUUGCAACUGGUUUAAGCAAAACUUUAAUCUUUAGAUAGAGUGAAUAUUUUCUUAUUUCAGUGAAUAUUUUCUUAUUUAAAAAAAACCUAGAUGGCUCAGAAUUGCAUUUGGUGGUGUUCAGUUAAGGAAUAAGAAUAAAAUGCAUUGAUAUUAAAUGCAAUUUAAUUACAAUAGAAACUUCCAAAGGGUAGGCACCAUACAGAAUGUUUUUCUAAAUGUAUUUAAUAUUGUCUUAAUAUUUCACAGGGUCUGAAGUUUGGCGAUGAAUGAUGAAAAUGGUAUAAAUAAUACAUUUGAGAAAGGUCAAAUUUAAUUGUGGAAUUAAACACAGCUCCUCUGGUCAGUGCAUGGUAUGUGCUUGUAUUUAAAGAUGACAUCUCUGCACCGGCAUGAGUUUUGCUAUUCAUUAUGGUGUGUGUAAUGAGCAUGGAACUUCAAACACGCUCUCUGCUCUCAGACAUCGCUUUUUGCUGUAUUAAUGGAUCAGCUGGUUUCAGCUGUAUUUUGGAACCUAUCCUUUCUUUUUUCACAUCCAAGUCCCCAAGCCCUGAUUCAUCUGUUAUUUUCAGAAACUAGAUGGGUGCUCUUUCUUGCUUUUGGAUCAAAUACCAACUUUUUUCUCCUUAAUAUCCUCAGGUCAUGCCCAACAGCUUCAAGUGAAGAAUGAAAAUUUUCAUUUUAUUUUCAGAGCCCUUGAGUUAAGCCAGCCUGAACGUGUGUCGCUUUCUCAUCCCACUCUGCUCAGCCCAGAAUACCCCAUUUGUAGUGGUCUUCGUGAGCCCCUUUCACUCCUUAGUCAAUACCUGAGACGUGAUUUCCUUCUAAAUUAUCGGAGCUGCCCACUCUUUCAAACUCCACGGCCUGGAAUCAUUCCUUUUUCCUUCCUGCAAAAUCUGUCUUUGUAGUGUGAGGUGGGAGAAGCUCUCCUCCUGCCAGCUAGGUCUGCAGGGAGCGCCCUCAGGGGCUGUCCAGCAGCUGAGGUGGAGGAAAAAGUGCAGAAGGUAACCUGGGGAAGAGGGAUGUAGAAACUCCAAACUCACAGCCUCUGGGGAUGCGUUACAGCACCUAUGGGGCAACACCUGGUCACUGCCAACAGCAACCUCAGCAGUGAACCCAGGCUUUGCAGCUGGACAGAGUGGAUGGCAAACCCUGGGUUUGCUAUUCUGGAGCUAUCCGAGCUGUGGCAGACUUUGCUCAUUUCUUAGAUCUGUUCCUUCCCUGAAUUGUGGAUACCACAGCAUUGCCAAUGAUGGCAGGUUGUUUACAAGGAGUAAGUGGGUGGAUUCUUAGAAAUCCUCCAUGGCAUGGGAUCUGAAACGUCAAGCACUCAACAUAGUGAGAUUUAAUAUUCUUUACUCUUCAUGCUUCAGUUUGUAAGGGCGUAUCUUCUGGUGAUCAGUCUUCCACAACUAACUAUCCCUUGGUUAACUUGAAGUUUUGGAAACUGGAUAUAAUUCAACAUUUUGUUAAAGAAAUACGCUGUCUCAGUAUGAGUUAUUUCCAUGGUAAUUGCAGUGUGUUUUUGCAAUCGGAGAGCGCUUCAUCCUAAAAUUUCAUCAUCAAAGGGUUAUCCGUUUCGAAGGAUCGUCCAUGUACCAAUUUUGUAAAUAAGUAAACUUGGAGAAUGCAAGUAACCUGCUCCUGGUCCCGCUGGCAGGUUCUGUCACCAGCUUUGUCCUCUUGGGGCCUACAGACAUGAGUCUCUGGGAAUGGAGCUGUGUCUUUGCACUCUGCAGAAAAGUUUGUUAAAUAUUUUUUCGGUAAACCAUGGUCAAGGGCAAGCACACUGUCAGUGCUUCCCAGCACACCAUGCUUGCUUAGUCUGCGGACUUCUUCACCUUUCUGUCCUGCUGUCUUUCCAGUGACUUAGCUAAUCUGACAUCAGUGAAAAUAUAGAGAAGAGCAUGAGUUUGAGUUUAGACAGACUGGGCUUUGAAUUCAGCUCAAGCUUUAAUAUGCUUUGUGAUAUUGACCAAAUCCUUAAACUCCUCGAGCAGAGUGAAAGACAGGAUUCUGUUAAAAAAAAAAAAAAAAAAAAAAAAAAGCAACACAUAGUGUAUUAUUCCACACUGCCAUGUGGAAGGCAGAAGUCUUUUUCAAGCAAUUCAGGUGUGCAGGACAAAUUUUCCUGUGAUCACUUAAAUCAGUCUGGGCCAUAAAUUUGAUCUUCAGUUUUAUUGCUGACCAAACUGACCCUCAAACCUGGGAUCAUACAAAGAUUUCAAGCUUUUUAUUCUGAACAAACAAAAAUAGAAGGUAAUUCUGGAACCAAGGUCCAGUAACCUUGAAAACAUCCCUUUCCCAUGACUAGUGAGUCUUGAGGUCUAAUUUCACACCCCUUCCAAAUGGCCUUGGGAUGUAGAGAAAGAGUCACACUUGUUUUUCAACCCUCAUGGGUUCUUAGUUGGAAAAGCCUCCCCUAACAAAAGACAGACUAACAAGAGCAAAGUAGGUAAUUAAUAUGCACAUGUCACAAAGUGCCGGGAGGAUGCCUAGUUCUCAAAGACAUAGCUUUGGGUUCUGGUUUAUAUAUAGUAUCUUAAAAAAAAAAAAAAAUCAGUGUCUUCUUAGACAAGACCAAAGCAAAGGAACUCUGUGGCUCUCUGGGCUGCCCACCUGUGGAAAGGCCAGUGUGUGGCUGCCAGCAGCUAGUUAAUAAAGCUUGUUACUGUGUCUCCUUUGACCAUCUCAGAAGGUCAGGGCCUGAUGCCGCCUUCUCAGUUAACCUGUGUUGCUGCUGAGAGAGUGGGGAGAGGAUGUCUUUUGUCUUUAUUGAUCCGUGCUCUGCUUGCAGCCAAGUAGAGGAGGUCAGUGAACUUUCUUUUCUGUACUGCUUUCUCUCGAGUACUUCCAUCUCAUCCAUCCUUCCUGCUGGAGUGGCUGAUUCUGGUCGCCCACAAGCCCAAACUAACUCCUUCCUUCCUUAGUUUCCCUUUGUGUUGCUUACAUAAUUCUCCUAAAAGAGCCAUCACCUCCCAAAGCAGGGGCCAGUGUCAAGGGCACGUGUGAUCCUCUUUGCUCCCAAGUCCUGCCAGGUGUAUGGGAAUAAGGCAAUAUUUUGACUAUUAUUAGAAAGCCACCCUCAUUCAUUUUGCAGAGAGGUACACCUCUCCUUUUUAUAAGAACAUGAAAUCUUAAUUAGCACAGGUAUCAGAAAGUAAAAAAAAGACAGGGUGAUCUUGUCAUAAACAACUUCUUCUCCCACAGUGCGAUCCUCCUGGGAGGGAGUCAGGGAAUUGCAAAAGGCUGGCUGAGGGCUUAGAGAGACCAACAUGAUUCAUGUUGUGUGGACAGCAGAAAAUAGAUCACUAAGGCAACUUCUCUGGAGGCUGCAAUUAUUUUUCAAAGUAGGAAAGUUAAAUGAUAACUUCAACCAAGUUAAAAGUAAAAUAAAUUAUUGCCACCAAACGUCUUAGGCAGCGAUAGAGGUUAUGGAUGUGCUAACCACCAACUGCCUAAUGCAGAAAGCAUUUCUGACUAAUGCAGAAAGCAGGGAGAACUUCAUUUUUCCAAAAUUAAAUUCUGUUCUCUGUGUCUCUGUUUCUCUAUCUCUCUCAGAUAUUAAGGGUUGAAAACCAGGACUUCACACUGAGCAGCAUCCUUGGACAAUCUUUUUCUGAGACUGAGUCUCAGUAAGUUGUCUAGUCUGGGGUCAAACUUGAGGUACGACUGACUCAGCCUCCCAGAGUGACUGGACUCCUUAUUUUCAAAUGCGUAUCGUCCUUUCAUGGCAUUUUUUCUGUUUAUAUUUGGCUCUUUGAUGAUCUAUGCAACAACGUAUUCUACUUAUUCCCCCCUGUUUUCAGUGGUCAUACUGGCAUAUGGUUUAGAGAAAAUUCAGUGUCAAGAAAGUGAGAAAUUUUUUUUUAAAAGGCCAGAUUUUGGAACAACUUUUCACCAGAGCAAGUACCUGCACCCCCAACCCUAAGGACUGCCUUGCCUCGAACAUGUCUGCUCCUUCUUUUUAAGUAAAGGACAAAGCUGGAAUAUUACAAUAAAGUUAAAGUAAAACAAAGCAAAAAGAGAGGUGAACAUGAGGUUUAAAAAAAAAUACUUGAGUAGAAUUCUUAACACUGCAUAGCCUGAAUUGCUUACUCUCUUGGGACAUUCUCCCAUCAUAAAAUAAAAAAUAUCCAGCACAUAAAAUAACAUGAGACUCUGCUAUGGGCUGUAAACAACUGCCCUACAUUCAAAUGAAUGAAGAAAAGUAAAUUUGAAGGUUUUUGUCUUCCUCCUACAUAUUGCUGUGUUUUCAUUGUUAAAACUCUGCAGUUACACUGGAAACCACAGACUUGGAAAUCCCAAACAAGACAUUUAAGUCAGGUCAGCUCAGCAUAAAAUUCUGUUCCAAGUUGAAGUAAUGACUUUCAGCCUGGAAGAUAGUUUCGUACUUGUGUGUGCAUCGAUUUGAUGUUAAAUGAGGGGAUCUGCAUUCCUACACGCUACGUGAGAGAAGCAACUGCACAUGCAGAAGCUGGCCACACCCAGGACAUUCAAUAACUUUUCUCUCCAGAUUUCACCAAUGAAGCAGAAUGACUACCCUGAUAAAGUUUCUGGAGUGCACCGUGUUUAAAACUUGUUUUAAAAGAGAUAUGACCAGAGAAAAACAAAAAGAGUGUGCAUUCAAAAAUCUGUACAUGAGAGCUCAUGGCAACUUUAUCCCACAAUAGACAAACAGUGGGAAGGAUACGGAUGUCCAGGUGGUGCUGAGCAGAGGAAGAUGAACUACACUAGGUAAGAAUUACUCAGGAACAAAAGGAAGGCAGCUCUGGAACCUGUCACAACAGGGGUGAACACUGGAAAUAUUAUGCUACGUGAAACAAAACAAUCAGGAGACUAAUAUUUUGUCAGCCUGUACACAUGAAGUUUCUGAAAUAGGAAACAGACAUACAGAGAUAGAGUACCAGUUACUUCGUGCCGCAGAGAGUGACUGCUAAUGGGAAUAAGAUUCCCUUUGGUAGUGAACACAAUGCUCUAAAGUUAGAAUGUGAUAGUGUUUGUGCAACUGUAUCAUGAAGUGUAUCUUUUAAAUAAUUGAGUGUAUAUAAAUUAUAUUUUAAUGUUUAUUCUAAAAUAGGCUAUUUUGUUUCAGUGUCAGUAUAGAGUAGAAAUUCAUAGGAGUGGUUUGACUUCAGGGAAAAAAUAGGUAUAACUAUAUUUCUUAAAUUACUGCUAGUGAAGAGCCUUUCUGGACUAAAUCAAAUCUUUAAUUUCUCCCAUGUGUUGAUUUAACAAGUUAAUAACAAAAAGGUUUGCACAUUGAGAAUUGCAGUGGUAAGAUACUUUGCAUCGUUUUUUUUUUUUUUUAGGUUUGUGGGAUUAUCCUAGAAAUGAUCCAGACUUUUAAAAUCCUUUUUAUUGUAAUUGUUUUUAUUAGUACAUGUGUGCAGUCCCUAACCCUGGCACUCCUUGGCGAGAGUAGAUGAAUGGACUCACCGCAUGCACUCCUUCCCCUCAGUCUCUACCCUUCCUCCUCUUGAUCUGCUUCUCCUCUGAGAAAGUUCUACCUCCUUACCUCCUAUUAUUUGUAUUUUAUGUUGCUUUUGGUAAAUAAUGAUGUAACAGAGCCAAAGCAAUAAUGCUGAAAAGCUUUCAGAACUGACUUUAAGGACAGAACUCUAAUGUAGCAUGUAACCUACUUAUAAAUAAAAUCCCAUUAUCCUGAAGCCAACUAGCAUUUAAAGAGCCCUCCCGGCAGAAUCCAUUUGCAGGAUGCUGCUCACCCUCUUGGGAGGUGCUCUCUCCAAGAGCAGUUUUUAAUAUGAUGGGAAAGUGAUUUGUCCAUGCGUAGUUGAGUUGCUAAGACUAAAAUAAUUCACACCAUGAUAUCUCUAGUUGGACAAGAAUAUUGAGGGGGGUCCACUGUUUUGAGCUGAGCCCCAGCUUUAAGCCCCAGUGGACUGGAUGAAACCAAAAUGGCAUCACUCAUGCUAAAUGCGAGCUAAUUAAACUGUGAUUCUGAGGAAGCAGUCCGGUCUCCAUGCAGAUCCCUUCUGCUGAAGACAGGAGGUUCUAGUCUGGUUGUGUCAGCUCCCUAGGGAAACAAACCCUUGUGCUUUAAGUCUUUACGGAGAAGGAACCUGCAGUCACCCUGAGGACACCUGCCCAGCAGGUUUCUCUUCCUGCUCUCUCUCUUUUCCCAGCUUGGGAGUGGCCCUGCUCAGUGCUCCUCCUUGGUUAAUGAACUACAGAUUGAAAGCCUACUCAUUCCCAGCUACAUCUGUCAUGAGGUUGACUUGGUGGUGAUUUGGCCUCUGGUUAGCAUCAGCAUGAAGGGAGCCAUUAUCCUGUCCUUAUCCUAUAUCACAUCCAGUAGCAGAAAAGCUGCUGGUGUGAUGGUGGUGAAAUCAAGGCUGAUAAUUCCCAGAGGUACAGGGCCAGCUCUGGAGUCUGAGUGUCCCCAUGGUCAACUGCCUGGCAGCUCCCUCCUCCUGUCCGCUGCCCACAACCAGAGAGCCCCACUCCUCUGGGGGCUGUGGUGCUGCCACUGCAGUGUCCCAGGGCUCUGUCCCAGCCCUGCACACUCUGCCCCUUAGUCCCCGGCCCUUUGGCUCCCUCUUCUGACCUCUUCACUCUCAGCGGCUCCUCUCUGCCCACUGUGUGCCAGCUCCCACAGGGUCUGCCAGGGUCUGAUGAUGCCAUGUACUUCUCAGUCCCUCUGUUGCCACUGCUCCUAAGCUCAUCCCCAUCACCAUUUCUGCACCUGCAGUCCUGUCAGACACAUGAGUGUGUCUGUGCCUUGUGUUUUCCCUUCUGGAGUGAGCACUCCUGCAAGGCAGAGACUUCAUCUGCUCAACUCAACUCUGAGUCAUGGGCACCAGAAAAAGCGCUCAGGGUCUCCCUCAGGCAUCCAGAGACCAUGGGGGAGUAAAGGGUGUAUCAGGUAGAAGGAAUGAGACCCCUGGCUCCGAGCAGCUUCAUCCUGGGUGGUCUUUACUGCUACUGGAUGUGACACAGGAUAACGACAGGUAGAAUGGCUCCCUUCAUGCAGAUGCUAACCAGAGGCAAAAUCGUAUCUAAAGCACUAGGCCCAGACAGUGAUCUCUCUAGGAGGCUGAGGCAGGAGGAUCACAAGUGCAAGCCCAUCUGAGAAAUUCAGACAUAACAAUGCCUCAUCUCAAAAUAAGAAAAAUAAAAUAAAAAUAAAAAGUUCUAGGGAUGUAACUCCCUGGGAAGGCCCUGGGUUUAAUCCCCAGUAUUAGGGUGCAUGGGGAACUCUUUGGGGGCAAGGUUAAUGCACCACAUAAAAUUGAAAAAAUCAAAUGGAGGCUUUGUUUUGGAGUCUCUUCAGUAUGAGUAUCAAGAUCUUUGGAUUUUAUAAUCAUCGAUAACACAUGAAACAUGCAGGAUUUUAAAACUGAGCAGUGAUGUUUUUAAGCCUUUGAGUUAAUAUAUUAGUUGUUUGUAAGUUUUUAAAAAUGAGUAAUGAUACAGGCUGGCUAGUCUGUCAACAUUGGGUCUGUGUUAUCCUUUAGUCUGCUCCUACCUGUCUGCUCUAGAGUUUGCAGUUUCAAAUGCCUUUAGGGGAGAACCGAGCAGGGCAGCAAAGCUGUCCUGGUUGGAAUGCAGGGAGGCAGCGCCCUGAAGGUUGGCUUCCCCUGAAGGCAUUCGAGUUCAAUUUUAUUUUCUGAACCCAGAGGUAACAAAAGCAGUCUUCUGGGAGCUCCUCAGCUGCUGAACCUCAGAGAACAGCUCAAGGGUCAGUUAACUAACUGAGCGGCUAGCCCGAGGCUACCUGCUCCCUGGGGCAGUCCCCACAGGCUGCCCUCCCUGGAGCUGUCAGCUUCCAACACGGACUGGUUGUUUUCACCAGCAUGGGUCUGAGAAGGCAGCACCUUCAUUUCAGAGUGCUUUUGAAAGGAGAAAAUAAAUAUUUAUCAAAUAACUGGAUCCAUUCAGCUGUGUAUCCUGAAAGCUUUUCGGGCCAAAAGCACACAUUCGGGUAUGUAAAUUUAGAUUUUAAAAUGUGUCAGCUUUCACUUUUAUCUUAUUGUCCACUUCAAUAUCCAAAUCUUAUUGUUCAAAUGAUUGUCAAGGGGUAGUACCCUAUAGAAGUUGCUACUUUAAAAGUAUUUCUAUUUUUAUUAGUGUGUGUUUGCAGCAAAAAUCAGUCACAGGCAUCACAGGCCCUUGGUGCGUGGACUUCAGAGAUCUUCAAUCUUUUCCCCUCCCCACCAUCUCUUGGUCCCCUGAGGCAAAAGAUCUUGGCUGUUUCCCCAUUUCUCAUUAUCUAUAUUUAUUUUUUCUUCAUUUAUACUGUACUUGAGUUCCUAUAAAAGGUCAUAAUUUUAAGUGAAAUAAAUCAGACACGCAAGUUUCAGUAUUGCAUUGUUUUUCUUAUAUGAGAAAUACAAACAUAGCAAGGCCCCCACAUUUCAAGCUGAUGGGUUAGGAUGCUCUGCAUCCUAGAGAGGAGGGUGCUACAAGAGGGAUCCUCCUGAGGCCGUUGUUGUCCUCAUUUGUCUCAUAAUUUCACUGCAUAGCUCUGCUGAAAGAAUAACUACCCAAAUGCACAAUCAUGAUCUCUUUAAGUAAAUUGAUCAGAGAGGGUUUGAAGUCAGAGACUUGCAGGGGAGACUCAGCCUGUUUACCCUGGCGGAAGGGCGAACUGUGGAGGAAGAGGAGGUUCUCAAGUGCGAACUUGCGUGACAUGAAGGUCCCAUUUGAAAAACAAAAUCCUACUAAGAACAGUAUCCUUCUAAUUUCCACACUGGUGAUAAGAGACUUUUUCAAGUUUGCUUUGUUUUUUGAGUUAUUUUUCCCCCUCCCUCAUAUCUUCAUGAGAACCUCUGAAUGGCUAAAGAGGAAAGACAAUUUCCAUGAUUUUUCAAGACAUUCUGGAAAACUGAUCUUGGGAAACAGGGGCCCUUGAAGGAGAAACAGAUUGGUCUGCUGCAAAUUUGAACUAGAAAUAAUCUUCCCGUUAUUCUGCAGUAUUGUCUGUAAGUCUCAGGAUUCACUUGUUCUUGUUUGAGUUGAAGAAAUUCCCGCAGCCUCCUUUAACACAUAGCCUUCCAGAGUAAUCUUCUCACAUUUGUUCCUGGGGAAAGUCCUACACUCUACCCUUCCAAUUAGAGAGAAAAACUUAAUUAUCCUUCUUAUACAUCAAAACACUCAGUCAUAUCAAAACCAGUAUUUUUCAGAAAGGGAAGAAGCAAAAACAAAUCUUCCUGUCUUACAUUGGAAUAGACCAUAGAUCCCAGCUUUAUUCAUCCUCCUUAAACCACACAAUCAACAGAAAGUAGACCUCUGAUCCCAUCAGUGAAAGCUUAAAUAAUUCACACAGUGUGUUUAAAGUUGUAUGAGUGGACUGACUUGGUAAAUGCCUGAGACUGCACCUGCUUGAUGUGCUGAACAUUCUGAAAUGGAGCUUCUCCCCUAAAUACUUGGGGUCUUGAGCCAUUCCUCAAAAUAGCUGCUGUUUCAGGAUCUAGGUUCUUGGCGAAUUAUCUUCAAUCUCUUCACGUAGGAUGCAACACAGUGGAAAUGGAAAAACAGGUUAUUAAGCACAAUGGGUGAAAUGAGGGUCCCAAGCACUGCCUUGGUCCGGGAGUGGCGACUUGAUCACCAGCCCUAUGGUACUGGGGGCGGGGCCUCUGAAGAGAAGUCAUUAAAGAGCUGCCCAGAGUGAGCUCUGGCUGCCUGCUCUGGGGCCACAUUCUCUCUGCUUUUGAGGAGGUAGCAUUCCAGAAGCUGUCUUGGAGCUGAGAUUGAGCCUUCAGGACCUUGGCCUUGGCUUGCUCAAGUCCCAGAGCUGCAAGAAACAUGGUCCUGUCCUCUGUAAAGUAGCCAGCGCCACAGUCUCUGUUAUAAUGGUAGACAAUUUCGAUGUAGGCCUGAGGGGGUGCCUUAAUAUAUCACCUUUACCGCAAAAGUAAAUAGUGGGUUUAUGUCUUCACUGUUGUGUUUCUAUGUCCCUUUGAAUUAGGACGUGACAGAUGAUCAGGCCUUGCACAUUGUGCAUCUGACAGGCCUAACUGCAAAUUCAUCAUCUCUUCCAUAAUCACUUCUACCGGUGACCUAUGCAUCCUGUGUGAUCUGUUUUGAUGGUAUAGAUAAUUUCAAUGCUGCUUUUAUAUCUGACCUUUAAAAGGGAAUGUCAGAAAGCGUUUUAAAGAUAAUGAGUUGUCUCAGAGAAACAAUAGUGUUGUCUCUCAGGAUGUAUUCAAAACUAACUGAAAAACAUACUCGAUGAUACAGCUAAAGGCAAAAUGUGAAAGUCUGAAGGAAGAGAUAAAAUAUACAAUAUAGAAUAAAUUUAAUAUAGAUAAUAGCAUAUCUGUUAAGAAGAACAAGAAAGAGAAAGCAAAAUGUAAGGCAGUAAUUGCAGGGUAUUUUCUCCCCUUUAGCCAAAUCUCAAUACUCUUUUACAAUGAGACAGUGCGUGAUGGGAUACAGGACACAUAAUCUACUCCUUACAGAAAGCAGGAUCUCUGCUCUUUCUAAGAUAAAAGUGACUUAAAAAAGACUUUACUGCACUGUAUCUGUAACAUCCAGUUAUAAGACAUGAAUUUAAUUCUAACUGCAAAAUUUAUGAAUCGGUGAUCUCCAAAAUAUUUAUAAAAAUACUUUUGCUUGUGAAACAUUCUUUUAGGUGGUUUAUACUAAGAAAUUCUAUAAGAUUGUCAUUUAUAUUUUUGUCCUUUGGGAAUUAAUUUAUUGACUAAAGAAAUUAAAGUACUUAAUAAUCAGACAUCAUCUAAAUUUUACCUGUGAACAUGUUGGUUGUUUUUCCUCCUUUGAAAAAUAAUUAUCAUUAGAGCUCCACAAGUGUUUUUUUUGUGUGUGUGUGGUUGGAAUAUAUUGUACAUAUAUGCAUAUGUAUAAAAAAGCCUUAAUAUCACUUUAAAAUGUCUUAAUCGCCAAAGUACUAUGCCCCUGCAUGUAGGGAUUCACCUACAUAUAUCUUCUGAGUGAAAACCUCUAAAUAAUAUCCCAGAUAUUUUUGUUAACCUGUAAUUGUUUUCCUUGAACCCCAUUGGUUCAGCUUCUAAUGUCUUUCUGCUUCUAACUGGCAACUGUUAGGACUUUUGCUUGCAUUUCUAGUGUUGAAAAAAUCCAAACUCCUGCAAACAAUAAUAGCAAAAACAUGCAAAUGAAGGACCCAUCUAAUUCCCCCAUAGUCUGUGCAUACCCAUUAACUUUCCUUCCCCACUGAGAAACAUGUCAUCAGGAGUCACUCCUUCUCAAUCCCCUGCCGUCCUGUCCUGCACCUGUCUUCUUUCCACCAUUUCUCCUCUCAGAAAUUCAGCCAUAAAUCUUGCCCUGUGAUCAUUAAUCAUGACCCUCUCAUACCUCUUCCUGACAAAACUUGCUUACUUUCCAAAAUUGCUGCUCAAAUUCAAUUGACUUUUGGAAAGCUGAAGCCAUUUUUUAACAAUGAUCAGAAGCAGGAGUCUGCAGGGCUUUAUCAUUUUUAUUUUCCUAACAUAACUUGCUGCUCAUCUGUCUCUGUUCUCUUGCUCCUCACAGGCCUGACAGUGGGCAGGCUCUGCAUAGCCUUCAUGGACUGUGACAUGUUAUCCACCUGACUCCUGUCGCCACGUAAUUAAUAUUUUUCCAACCCUUUCCUUUUCCUCUAAGUCCAUCACAGAUAUUACUUCAACCUUUUAGUUCGGACAUCUCUUCUGUGUCCUAGAUUUGUUUUAUGUAAUGUCUUUAAUUAAAUAAUAACUCAUCUAUCUUACCAUUAAACUAGUAUCACAUCUGAUGGGUUGCAUCUUACUUUUGGAUAGAAAACAUAAUUUAUGGGGCUGGAGGUUUAGCUCAGGGGCAUAAGCACCUGCCUUGGAAGCAGGCAGUUGUGAGUAGUUGGAUCCCCAGUACUGAUAAAAAGGAAAAAGACAAAAAAAAAAAAAAAAAGAAAGAAAGAAAACAUAAUUUAGUAUUGUUGUUUUUCAAAAAACUGUGUUAUGUUCUUACAAAGGCAAAAUUCUGAUUAUGUUGAGAGUUUGCAAGUAUUGACUUCAUCUAUUUGCACGUGACAGCUUGCUAAAUUGUGAUUGAGUUGUUUUAUUGUAUUUAAUUAUUAGAUACCAGCAAGGCAUAUUUCAUCAUCAUUAUUCAGAGGUCUUCAUCUGCUGGCAGUGUUGGCGGUGCUUGAAGUUUCUGGAGUCAGGUAGCUUCUGACCUCAGAUUGUCUGCAUUCACACAAACAUCCACAAGCUGAUCGCAUUGUAAGAAAUGCAAACUCCUCUAAUGCACGGGAGAGCAUUAAUUUCCUUUACUUUGGUUGAAAAAGUUUUUCUUAUGAAGUCAUUGGCUGUGUACCUUAACACAUGCUGAAAGAUGAAAUGAGAUGUGUGUGUCAGAAGAAGGGAAUGUCUUGCCUUUAGAAUUCCAGACUGACAUGCGGAUCAGAGUGACCACAUGCAUACACACAGUGCAACCGACAGCCACCCAGCAGAUAGCAGCAGUGUCCUGCACUGUGCAUGUCAGUACAUACAUGAGUUACAGCUCGAAGAAAAAUGUGAUGCUUCUGUGGAAUUAUUAAAAUAGUUCCUUUUCUAUUUCCUAAAUAUAUUAUUUUAACAAAAUAGGCCAGCCAUCAAGGUAAUUGAGUGAAGCUAACAAAUGAGAUUAUCUAGGAUAAAAACAUAAAACUAUUUUAAUAGCAUUUAAUAUUAAAUAUUUUGAUAUUAAGUAAAUUAAUAUUUUAAUAUUAAAUGAUAUUUAUUGUUGUUUUCAAAGCAGUUUUUGUUAAAAUCCUUAUUGAAUGUUUAAAUGUGUAUGCUGUAGAUAUUAGAUAUUUCUAAGACUCAUAAAUGUAAGGGUUUUAGUAAAGAAUAUAAACAUAGGGCUAACUGAGGAGAUACUAGAGAUGUUGAAAAUACAAAGUGGUCUAUUUAUUUUUUGGUUUCACAGGACAAAAGGAUACCCUGAUUCUUUGCAUCCUUAUUCUGUAAUCAUUGUCUGGCCUGUCUGGGGCUGUUAGCCUGUGUUUGUCUAUUUUUUUAGCCAUGGAAACUGAACACAGCUGAGCACAGAUUCCACCUUGACUUGCAGGUCUAGGACCGGGGACCACAUGUGUCAGAAAAGCGAGGAUCUACCUCACCUCCAGGAAUGGACCAUGCAGGUGCAGGGGACACUGAGGGCUUCACUGAGAGCAGCAGCAAAUGGUAGCACUGUCAAACUGGGUGUGCUUUUCCCCAGCCUGUGUGACUGCUUUCUGUCCCUGGCCAGGUGCUGGUAGCCCAGCUGUUCCUUAGCCUUGUCCACUGCCCCUGUGAACGCCUCUUAACACCUGUGUCUGAAAUUUCCUGCACUUGUACACAUUCGGAGUCACACCAACAAUGUUGUGAUUUGAGUCUGUCUUUGUCAAGGAAAAUGGGUUGAAAGCACAGAGGUAAUUUGAAAUGAAUUCAAACUUGCUUCCAGUGUAAGUUAAAAUUUCAAGUAAAUACAUUAAAAUUAUUUAAUCCUUUUACCUCUUUCGGUAACAGUUUUUUUUUUUUUUUUCAAUUAUGAAGCAGAUUUGUUUCAAGAAAAUAUGUCCUUCUUUACUGGUCUGCAUUCUCAUCACAGCCACAGGUAACCUUGGUCCCCGCAGGCGUCUGCAGCAUGGACCUUCCCAGGCCCCCAGCCUCCUCCAAGGGCGCCACCUGUUGGCAGAAGUAGCCUCGUUUCUGUCUUGCUGAGAUGCUCUUCACCAUGCUCCUCCUCAGCAGACAAACAGGAGAAGGCCGGCACCACAUGUGGAGCUGUGAACUCUGGACAGCCCAGCAUUGUAAACUGUCCCCUGCAGCUGGGGACACGAAGCAUUGUUUCAUCUGAGGACAGCCUGCUUCCUUUCUUGGGAGUCAAAAACCUCACAAAGUGUUUCUGUGUGUUGGGAGGGCACAGCAUGGUGAUCCAAACUUUCUUUUCGUAAUUUUAAUUUUUAUUAGUACACAUUUGUGGCACAUAAUGAUCACACUUGGUGGGGACUUAGUGCGUAUACAUGACAGCUUCAUUCUUAUGUUUCCUUCCCCUCUUCCUCCUCCCUGCCCUUUCAAAACGUUAUGUAAAAGCAUAAACCUGGGGGUGGGGAAGCAAACUGUAUCCUGUUUUGGCAGCACCGUGUACAACGCAGUGAGGGCAUUUACAGCAUUGAUCCUGAGUGGGGAUCUAUACAAUUCAUAUUCUUGUGGAAUAUGCAAAGACAAUCCAAAUACACUUUGAAUUGUAUCAGAUAUCAACUUUUGGCAGUUUUCACUUCCUGUUUUCUGUGGUGAACAUCUGUAUAGACAUCAAGAUGACAAUCUACAUGUACAUUGUCCAAAUCCAAGUCCAUGCCUGUGAGCUGGGAAACCUGGUCUUUACUUUCUCUGUGCCACCAGGGGCACACUGGUCAGCUCAUUGUGCCGUGAAGGCCAACCCUUGUGUUUUCAGAAUUCUCUCUUCUGCUCAAACGUGGCACAUUUCAACUGCAACCUGUCUUUUGGGAAACAAAACCUUGCUCAGUUUCACAGAGCCACUAAGAGAGCCGUGUGGCUGGAUGCGUGAAUUGGAGGCUGUGUGGAAUGAGUCCAGCAUGCUCCUUAUCCAUGUAAGCACUGAUGUCCUUCUGGACAUAAGUGUCUGUGCCCUGCGGAGCCCUCGCCUUUCCUGUGCAAUACCUGGGGGACUCAGGUCCCUUUCCCCUGCUCCAGUGUUUCCUAUGUUCAGCAGAGCAUGUCCUGUUUUGCUGGGUGGCCCUGUUUUAGUCACUAGUGUGUGUCCUACCCUCUGUCAUUACGUUAGCAGCCCCCUUUUCUGCACCGAUGUCUUGGUUUGCUGGUGCGGAGCAGCUGUUCCUGUUUUCACUGUCUCAGCUGUCAGGAAGGCCAACCGUACUAUUCACAGCAUUAAACAUUAAACGUGCCCAUGCAUGGUGAUGUGUCCUGAAAUGCCAACCCUUUGGGAGGCUGUGAAAGGAGGAUCAGAAGUUCUAGUCCAGCUCAGGCACUCUGGAUACUUGAUUAGACCCUAGCUCAAAGUGAGAAAAAAUAGGAAGAAACAGUCAAGAAGGUAGAUUCGUGAAAAGGCUCUGGGUUAGUUCCCAAUACCACCACCAAAAAGCAAACAAAAAACAAAAAAAUGAAUACAGCCCUCUCCCCAAAACCCUGCUACCACCUUGCUACAAAGCACAACAGAUAACCCAGAGAUAAUGCAGCCCAAGUGGUAAGAUUCCUUUCUAAAAUGCGCCCAAGUCUCUCCUCUCAGAUCGAGACACAGUCACACUAGUGGCCAAGCUGCACUGUCAACAUCAGGGAUGGGGGAGAAGCAGAGACUGCAGGCUGGAGACGCCCGUUAAUUGAUGCCCUAUUUCCCCCCACAAAGAACACAGGGCUGCUUUUGGUGCCCACAUUCUGAACGCUCCUGUGGGUCCUGCACUUUUCCCCGGGGUCCCCGGGGAUUCCCCGGAAUCCUGCACUCAGGGCCAAGGACUACGUUCUUCCCCUCCUCUCUCUGGAGCCCUCCUGGGGUACACUGCCCUCCCAGGCAGGACAAGGGGUUUAGAAUGCUCAGUGCAGGGCAGGAAACACCCACAGGUUGAAAUCUUGCAGGUAAAUGUUUGUUCUUUUAGUUUAAGAUUUUUCUUUCUGCUCUGAGGUAAAUGAUCUGAACACACAAAAUCUGGAGAUUUCCAGUGAUUGCCAUGAUUAGGAAUAAGUGUUUUAAAUGGACCAAUCUAUGGAAUAAAUUUGGCAAAUCAUCCAUUACUCCAGGGAGUGAAUUCUGGAUUACUUCUGGCUGCACCUCCCCCAGUGCCAGAUGACUUGUCGUUCUCCAGCCCCCAUCGCUGCCAUUUUUAAAUCUCUUUAAGGAUACUGUGACUCGCUUAGGAAACAUCUCUUGGCCCUAUGACUUUCAUUUUCCAAAUGAAUAAAUAAAAGAUUGAGGUAGAGACUUAGGUCCAUCACCAGAGGCUAAGGUGCGACAGCUAGAAUAAUGGCUACCAAAACACGUAGCCCAGGUCCCAAGGUUGUAAUGUGGUGCAUGAUGCUGGCUUACAUAAAAUCCCAGCGACGAGUUCCCAUUCAGCCCCUCUUGUUUUUAAUACCAGGCUGCACUGUUUCUCAGAAUUAUUCUACAUAUUAAUAUCACCUUGAAGUCAUUACAACAGCUGUCUCUUUCUGGUCGCAGACGUUUUACCUUCAAAGAUGAAAUUGUGUACUUUUGGUGGGGGAGGAUUUUGAUUGGAUCAACUUUGAUUUUCGAGUGUCACUGCUGAGGUUGUGUGCCCCUUAGCAGAGCCUUAUAUUCUAAGCUUUGACAAUAGUAUUCCUUCCUCUGGUAGAUAAGAAAACAUUCUAGACAGAGAGCAGUGGACAGAAAAACAGGGAGAGAGAUGGAUGAUAGAUUAGAGGAAUCCUGUGUCACUGUCCUGGGAGCCCAUGGUGAGGAAAGACUGCAGGCUGCCAGGCAAGGCAGACGGUAGCUGCGGUGACAGCACCCAUGGCCAGAGCUAAGAGGGAAAGCAGAACAGGAGCAACGUGGCAGGGAGGGCAGAGAAGAGUUUCGGACCAUCUCCUUGGUGCUGCUGUGUCCCCACCAACUCACCGGGUCAUGGCAAAUGUGAGACACAGCUGGCACCUCUGCAGUGCCCUGAUGGUGUGCACUCCCAGGAGUCCUCCAGCAAGGUAACAGUAAUAGCAUCAUCAUCUUCAUCACCUGUAUCCUUUAAAAUCAUCAGUGCUGUCACUCCUUCUUUGUCUCAUUUUACCAAGUGUGAAUCAAAACCUACUCUGGAAGGUUAGGCUUUUUUAACAAAGCAUAUUACAGUAGCAGAUAACAAUGAAGCACACUCAUCCCAUUGUUCCUGCCACUUUCUGAAGCAGUUCCAGAGUCCUCUUUCCCGAGUGUCUUUAGUUGCACUUUGGAUGCCUUGAAGUCCUGAAUCCACUCAAAAAGCUUCCCUUUCACAGUCACUUUGACUUUGGGGACAAACUGGAAGUCACACAGUGCCAGACCCGGUGAAUGAGACUGAUGAGGACACAACGUCACAUUUUUUACUACAAGCUGUGUUUCUGUGGCGUGGCACACGGCAGCGGCUUCACUGUGUUUUUUAUUGCAUCGUGGUCACAGCCUGGGAAGGAAGAUGCCAGAGUUACUGCAGAAAGUGCCAAGAACCACGGGCUAAGCGAAGGCAGGAUGCUCAUUCUGAGUAUUCUGAGGGGGUUAAAGACAGUGUGUCACUCACCUUAAGUCUUUUUGUAAGGUAAGCAUGCACUGUCCUUUUUCUCUUUUUCCUUGCUACAUUUAUCUUCUUCAAAAGGAAAUGUGAGCUGAAAUCCAUUUCAUUUUCUUUUCGCUAAACCUCACGCAGCACUGACAGAGGGUGUGUGUGCUGGGCAACAGAUAGUGAGGCCAUGGUGAGGCACUGUAGGCACUGGGUCAGUGAGAGGCUGCGGGACUUUGCGGCAGCAGGCACCUGUGUGGUUGCUUUAGUGACUUCCGCAUCCCAGUUAUAAUCCCUGCCAUGUGCAAGAGCAGAAAAGCAGGGCUUCUGGAGAGAUGUGGGACAUCCACCGGGAACUAGAACCUGUGCCCUGCUGAGCCACUCCCAGGUGGCUGGCCACUGGCCUUCUGCCCUUUUUCAGGGACACCGAGUCCGGGAACCCCAUGCACCCCCUCAGACCUCCUUCUCUUCCAGAGCCAGGUCUGUAGGUGACAUUCUCUGCUCCUUUCCAGUCCCAGACCUGGAGCUAAGCAGCUGCAGGGAUUUCGUGCAAGGUCCCUCACUCCUCAUAACUGACAGUGUCAUUGGUGUGUGACCCUGAAUGAGGCAGCAGUGACUGUGGAGUCUUUGUGAAUGCUCUGAGCUCCGGGUCUUCAUGCCAUCAUCUCUGCCACACUCUCAUCUUGUUCCCUGUCACCCAGGAGCUGCCUGUGCUGGCCAGUGGCUGGGGAUUAUUUCACUGGUGCUGUCCAAUUUAGUCUUUCUUGAUGGAGCAGACAAUUCCCAGCUUCCACCCUGGCUUGUUAGACUCCUGAGGAAAUCUUCCUGCGCUCCACAGGGGUAAAAUUGGGUUCCCCAUUGGGGCUAUGUGUGAGACACUGACUCCAUUUUACUGAGGUGGAACAGCUUGCUGGGUCAGGGACAUGCAGCUGUAUUCUGAGAUCUGCAGUGGCUGUGAACACCGAGACGUUGAUUUGCAGGAUGAGCUGGAGUCCACAUGAAUGGAUCCAGAAUUUUCAUUAGACUGCCCAGGCAUUAGUUUGUUACUGACCAUUUUGCUCAACUGCAGUGUUGCUACAUAAUGAACUUGAGAGAUGAACCUGGUGUGAGGCAUCUUCUGGGCUUCCUUUUGUGAAAGGCAGACUGUGGGAGGAAGGGAGGAAUUCAAGUUGAAAAUUUCAGGAUGCAGAACCUCUGUGCUGGGGUUCCAGCUGGCCUGUGGCCAGCACUUUGCAUGGCACUGGAGAAGCAGUGAGACUCAUCAAGGCCUGGCCAGGGGACAACUGCACAUGAGUGAGGGAUUUGCCUCCCCACCCACAAGCCCAGGCACCCUAUAUCUUUUCAGAGACAUGGGAACCACGAGAAUAGAGAAAGUUGCACCACAAGUUAAUUAAAAAAAAAAAAAAAAAAAAAAAACUGUUUCUUCCUUCCUGAAUAUAGGGGAACUUGUGUGCCCAGGUUUUUCUUCUACUGACAGCUCUUACCAGCUUUCCCUGAGUAACCCCUGACUAAUCUGUAACAACUUACAAACAUCUUUUCUCUCUCUAUCAGUUUCUGACUGUUCUGGGUCUUGCUGACUUCUACACAUUGCACGAGGUCCUAUGCUCAAGCUCAUUCCGAUCUGUUCAGGCACUAGAUGCACAAAGCAAGACCGUGAUCCUGUCUGUGUGUAAAUCUGAGCAGGAGGAAACAAACUUCUCAAAGUCCACAAGUCCCUGGGGCCCUUAGCUUUAUCCCUGACCUUGUUGAGGGGGAUUCUGGAGCACACUCCAGAUUUUAGGUGGAACAGCUUACACAAUUAUUAAGCCAGUUGUGUGGAGCUAUAUUUCUUUCUGAGCAAUGGUUCAUUUACACAUUUAGCAAAUGCUGUUGAAUAUUCUCUGCAGGCUUCCUUCCCUCCUGAGUACAGGAGGGGUGACACUGUCUCUGUCUCCUCUGAGGCAGAUCUGUUCCCAAUAUACUUGUAAUUUUUAGUUGAGGAGUUGGCUGUGCAGGAGAAGUAGAAGUUGAUUGUAGUAAGUGAGGAGGAAACAGCAUCCUUGUUGAAGAGAUCUUGCUCUGUCCCCAUGUUUGUGCAAAGAACCGCUUAGCACCUUACAAAACACGAGGGCUGAUGUCCCUACAGAUGACUGUGGUUUAAGCAUGCUGGAAAACAGGAGAAGUAGGAAAGAGAUGCCAGCACGGAGCUGGCAGUGGCUCUGUGAUGUGUUUGAUUAGUGUUUGCUAAUCAGCAUCAGGGAGAAGCUGCAGUGUAACACAGUGCUCACAGACACGGAUGGCAGGUGACAAAGUCUGUGUCCCAGACGGGACAGCAGGAGCCUGUGAAGCUGCCUUAGGACACUCAAGUCAGCUGUUGACUCCGGAGCAAUUUCUUUAAGAAUGAGAUCUUCUGAAGUCUACCAUGAGCUCACUGGCGUUUAGGAAGCCAGCUAAUCCUGCAGGAUAAAAGGCAGCAGAGUCUGCUGUUUCACUGAUUGCAGUGGUCAAUUCUGGUCACUGGAGAAAUGCUAAAGACAAGUGCUCCCCAUAGAGAAACUCCAACUGAGAGUGGCUGAGAGUGGCUGGGACCUCCUGUUUCUUUUUUUGCAGACUGGUCUAGCUCCUGUGUCUGUGGAUUUCUGAUUCAAACACUGACAUCACUUUCUGCUAUCCACACAACAGCUGUUCUCAGGUUCCCAUUGUCCCCUUGUGUGUCUCUUGGCUCUCUGCACAAGCAUUGGAGUAAGUUGUGCAUUGUCUCUCUCCCCCUCCGUUUUGGUUACCCAUGAUGCUGAGCGUCAGGGUUUUCAGGCAGGAUGUUGGGGUGAGUGGUCAGCGAACUGAACAUUUAUCCAUGUGGCCAUUUGUUCCAGUUUGUAUCUGACAUGUGCCCCAAAGGACCUUGUAUUCAAAGCUUGACCCUGAGAUGGAAACUUUCAGAGGCUGGGACAAUAGAAGGUUUUAGGCUCCUGGAGUGUGGCCUGGAAGGGAGUAGGACCCCAGACCCUUCCCUUUCAUUGAUUGUGCUUUUCCUCCCACAUCCUGCUGAUGAGAUGAGUGGUAUGGUUCUGAACGUAAUCCUGCUGUGCUGUGUGGUCUCACUGGGGACCAGAAGCUAGGGUGCCGAUCCCUCCUGUGCAGAGACUGCCCAAACUGCAGGCCAGAAUAAACCCUCUUGCUUUCUAAGAGUAUUGUGGAACAGUAACAUAAAGCUAGCUUGCUUGUUAUUCACUCAGUUCCAAUGCACUGGAUGACUCUGAGCAUCCGCGCUGGAUAGUGAAAGCCUGUGGAUGUCUUGAUUGCUUUUCACUCAACCUGGAUGAAAACGGAGGAAAAAGUCCCUCCCCCUGCAGAGCACACACCCCUCCCUGCUAAACUAUUUCUCCUUGUCAAGGUCUUGUGAGGAUUCCAAAAUGUGAAAGAAUAAUUUAAAUUCCAGACACCUAAUGGAUCCAUGUGAUUGAAAAUAUCACUAUUUCCUAAAGUAAUUUGCCAGAAAAUGUUUAUAAAGCAAAAGAGUCCUAAACUGACACAAAACUAGCUCAAUUCUAUAUUGAAUGUAGAAUAUGUAGCAAAAAUAGACACAUCACUUUUUCUAGAAAUAUAAUGUAAAAAAAUAUUGGGUACAUAUUUCUUUGUUUCGAUUACAUCUCAUCUGUCAGUAAGAUACAUUCAAUGGCAAGUUUCUUGUUCUUUUUUGGCCUUCUACACUGUGCUGCUGUGGUUUGGUGAGAACGGAAUGACAUUUUAGAUAGAGAAUUUUUUCUUUUAAUGGUGACAUUCCAUUUCCCUGCAGUGGAACUAUGGGUAAAGCAUUUAACCUUCCAAAUGGUGACAGGGGAGAGAAAGACGACAAGGAGUACUUAGUCCUUAGGAUCUUUAUGACCAUUUUAUACAAUUUCAUAUAAUAUAUAUUUCCCUAAAUUGACUUUUUAACCUCUAAAGCUUUACUAUUUUGUAGCAUCAUUGCGGACUUUUUAAUAUGUGCUCUGGUACUGAACAUCGAGAUGUCACCUCAUAAAGGAUUAACAUUAGUUUUCAAGUUAAACCUCCAGUGUCUUUUUACACCAAUCUCAUUGUUAUCUAAUUAAAUAACUAGGGGUUCAAAGGUCUGUGACUCAAAAUUGCAUAUUCACAAAAUUAUUCUUAUUCUAAAAUGAUGUGAAGCCUUCUUUGUCUAAUGAUUUCUUUCUUAAAAGGCCUAUAUAUGUCUCUGUAGGUAAAAAAGUAAAAAAUGUCCUUUAGAGUUUGUUGCUUUAGUAAAUCAUAUUUCUAUAAGUUACUGACAGAAAUCUGGUGAGGUGAGCACUGAACCUACACUGUUACAUCAAAUUUUACCUGCUGUCAAUGUUAAUAAUAGCAAAGCAAAGCCAGGCAGUCACAAUAUGACUGGCCGUUAUUUUACUGUUCUUUAUUUUUAAGGGGGAUUACGCUGUCUGAAAACCAGAGACCCUGGGGAUAUGGGAUGCCCUUCAUAGCUUCAUGCACACUUGCCCUGUUCUUUGAGGCACUCACGGCGCUGUGUCUUCCCUUCCUGGUUGGUGAUCUCCCCAUUUAAUGGAUCUUCACUGAGUCCUCACCAUGCACUCAAGCCCAGCGCUCCAGGCAUAACAAAAGACCAAAUGUGCUAUUUUUCUGUCCAGGAGCUCCGGGGCUAUUUGCAAGGCAAGAUCAGCCAGAUGAAAGCAAAACCCCAGGCCUGCUAAGUGCUGCCAAAAGCCCAGUCUCAGAGGGCACCGUGUAGGAUGAAGGAGGUGUGGACUGGCAGCCUCCUGGCAGGCUGGGCUGGAGCUCAGCCAGCAGGAGGGCGGAGGACUCCUGAGGAGGAUAAGGAGGUGGCAGUGGCUUUCAUUCCUCCUCUGUUGUUUAAGGUGGACUGUGCAGGGCACUGCUUUGGGCUUUCUCACUGCUUGUCCAAACCUGCAGCAUCUCCUCCGUGCAGGAUCACUGUCUAUUCCUACACCAAUCUAGACAUUUUUGUUUUCCCAGGGUGGAUAGUCAAGACCACUUCCCAUGCUGUUGAUCCAAACUGAUUGUCUGUGUGAUCUGUUACUCUGACAACUGAAGUGCUCGCUUGGCUUAUUCCUCCUGUGCGCUACAACACACCUGCCCAGUCCACUAGAAAGGGCAGUGGACACAUCACCCUCUCUGUCCCUCACUUCCUCUCAUGCAGAUGUUCUCUACACUAGGCUGGGCCAUUUCCUGCAUAGCAGAUGCAGGAGGGUAUAGUGAAUCUCCUCUUUCUGAGGAUCUCAUCUUGCUGCUCCCUGAGUACAUUCUCCAGGCUCUACAGAGCCUUAGUAAGGGAUCGUUUUCUGCUCCUGUGGGGACCAAUAGGUCCACCGCUGCAGGGCAGGCCAGAGGACAGUUGCGGGAGAAGAUGGGUCCACAGCCAACUGGAGACAGAGGGGCUCCUUCCUUGUGGAAGCCAAGUUCUUUUAUUUGAGCCCUUGGACAAGGCCCACCCACGUAGUAAUAGUAAUAUACUUUGUCAAUGCUUGUGAAUUUGAUGUCGGUCCCAGUGAUGUCUAUUUGAGUGUUUGGCCAAAUGACUGAGAAAUGUGGCUUAGUCCAGUUGCUUCAUAAGAUUAGGAGACAAUGCAUUCAUGGAGACAGCAGAAAUAAGGCUGACCGAACAGAUUUCUUUUCAUGACAGAAGUUAGUGAGCUCUGCUUCCUCUGAGGCCCAUGCUUUUCCUGUGCGUGUGCUGAGCAGGAACCCAAGGAACACAGAAGAAGCAGGAGGCUGAUGCCAUUGGUUAGGUUUAGCCAGCCACUGCAGACCUGGGAGCACCCUGCACACACUUUCCCCUCGGGCAUCUCACUGUCUCUGCUUCGAAGGAGUCUUGGGCUGUGUCCUUCACCUCUGGACUCCCAGAGCAGGCCUCUUACUCAGUGGGUGCUCCCCACGUCUUCAGACUGCUUUACAAAAAGCAAUAUAAAAGGUCAUAGGAAACCAAGAGCUAGAUCUUUCGGAAAUGUGGAAGGGAUCAAGAGAUGGGAGGAGGAGAAGGAAGAGGAAGCAAAAAGAAUUAAGAUGCAUCAGGUUCAGGUACCCACUCCCCAUGGUAAAUGGAAUCAUUUUAUACCUCACAACUGGACUAAUAAAAAUAAAAACAGGAAAGAAAAAAAAAAAAAAACAGAGUACCUAUUUACAUUCUAUGGAGGGUAAAGAUAUAAAAACCCAUUAGAUCCAUGAAAUUGCCUAUAUAUAAUAAUGACUUAUUUUUAAUCUUAAAACAAGAUUUCCUUUUCUCUUUGACUUUGAAAGAAAUAGAUCAAGGGAAAAUUUAGACUGCUGAAUCUCAAAAGAUAAUCUGAUAGAAAGAAAGAUGGAUAGAUACCUUUGUGACCAAGAGAUUUUGGUACAAAAGCGUGCCAUUAUUGUGUCUCACUCAUGAGUCAUUUGGGGGCACUUAAUGAGAAGGCUUUUCCUUGAUCUCAAUGGUAUCACAAAGGUAUUGCUGUCACUGCAGUAACCAGACUCUUAAUGAUCAAUUCCUUGUUGGGUGUCAGCUGAGUUUAAAAUUAAUUAAUAAGGGGGAAAAUCUCUAGCCUCAGAAAAAAGACACUGCCUCAGAACCUCUGUGAAUGGUCAGGACAUAGAUCUUCAGGGCUUGAUUUUCUUGAGUACCAUCUCAGCUUCCAAAUAUCAAACUUUUUCCUUCCUCUUCAUUUAUUUUACUUUAGAAUAUUUACAUAGUUUAUAGUAGGAUCAGUAGAAAUAGGAACCAAUGACUUUGAGAAAUACUUCAUUAGCAUGUUUUCACCAAAAGUAGACAUUCAACUGGAAUUACAUUUUUCAGCAAAUACUUACCAUUGCACUGGAAAUUUAGAGGUUUACCUGGUCUCAUAUUAUCAAUAGUCAUGUUUUAUAAUACAUUGUUUUAGGCUAGAAAUUUAAAAAAACAGACUUUUAGUGUGAACAUACUUAAAUAUUUUUAGAAACCCCACAUAUCUGUGACAUGGAGUAAUUUGGAAUUUAGUGAAGAAAAAAAUUUGAGUCAAAAUAUAGCAUGGCAGAUAUGUUAGAAUAAUUUAGAUAGUGAAUAAUUUAGUAAAAGAAUUGUUUAGCUGCUGAUUAGCUUAUGCUCCAGAGAGGCAGCUUCAGUGCUGUGUGACAGAGGACUGUCCUGGUCCCAUUUCCAACUUUGGUUCCCAAGCAUUAGCUGUGUGAUGUUGGUUCAUGUCUUAGUCCACUUUCCUUCUUUUACAAGAACACGAUACCCACAGCCCAGCUUAAAGGAAGAAAGUCUAAUUUAGGCUCACAGUAUACAGAGUUUCAGUCCAUAGUCAGCUGGCCCCAAGGCAGGGCAGCAUGGCAGAGGAGCAUUGCUGAGUAGAAACAGUCUGAGAAGGGCAGGCAGGAAGCAGAGAGAGAUGGAGGAGGAGGAGGAAGAGGAGGGAGAAAGGACCCUUCCAGUUCACACCCCAGCGAUCACCUCCUUCACUGCACCUCACAUUCCUAUGUCACAUUCUGCUAUAAACUCAUCAUGUGACCAAUCCAAUGGUGGGAGUCACACCCAUGACUGGCUCACCUCCCCCAGCCCUACCUAUGAGCGUGUGAGGCUUUCAGAGACCAUCCGGAUAUGACCCGGAAGUGCCCAUUUGCCUGACCUCCCUAGGCUUGUGUAUACUCAUAUAAAGUGCAUUUUUCACUAACAGAAAAGGUGUUCAAGGAUGUUAGCAUCACACCGAAGUGCAGUCCUCUUCAUCUUUAAACAUACUGUCUCUGUGCUGGAAGAAAUCACACCCUCCAUUGAUUAGUAGUUUUGGUUCUUUUUGCUACUGGAUCCUUCGGAGCUGAUUGUUCUCUGCCCAGCAUCCAACCAGAAAUUGCUUAAAUGACCCAUCCUGCUGAGUAUCAAUCUCAUGCCUGGCAUUUGAAGCACUUUCAUGAAGGUUAAACUUAUAGAAAGAGGGAGAAAAUUGAAUUUAAAUGAUCAUGUGUGACUUUAAAACAUGAUUUAUGCCUUCUGAGUAUUAAUUUUUCCCUGAGUUCUUGAAAAAUAAUCCAAACCAACUUUUAAAGAAGUUGUAGUUCACAGAGCAAAAAUACCGAUUUUCAGUAGGCUAACACCACAGGGGUUCCAGAUCUGCCCGGUGGCCUGAUAUUCAUUAGUGAUGUCUAUAAAGGAGGUGUUCUUGCCACUUCUCUUCCAUGUUUUUAUUUAUUUUUUAAUUUAUAUUUAUCUGGAAAAGAUUUCAUUUACAAUUUCAUCUUCAAUUCAAUUUAGAAAUGAACUGUUUCAUAAUUCUAAUCACCAUAAAAUAAACAGUCAUCGUGAAAGUGGGCAGCUGGAGAAUGUAGCAGUGAUGAUUGUCUUUGUUAUUUAUUUACUUACUUUUGAGUUUUGUGUGGAGUCAAGAACAGAAAAUGAGUAUCAGUUUCCUCGGACAAAAGCAAUGAAAAUAUUUGAAUGCAUAAGAGAUCAUAGACUACUUGUGUUUUCCUAACAUGACCAUAAAGAUUGAAACCGAGAAGCGAGAUUGUGAAAUUCAGUGACCAUGCGAAGCAAAGAGCUCAGGUACCAGAUUCUGACUGGACAUCUGUCAGCAGGUAGACUUUGUGGUUUGGGUACAGAAGCUUCAGAGAGACAGGCAACUUUGAAGACCCAAGAGGCUGGGGCAGGGAGAGGGAAGAGGGAGAGCAGAGGGUGUUGAGAGCACCUCAGCUAGUCUUGGGACUGGCUCAGAGCACCUCUAAGGUGGGCUGAGUCCACUGCCAGUCACUCCCUGGGCACUGGGAGCUCAUUUGAAUUAGAAAGUGACUUUGAUGUGGGCUUUAAUUCUUUGCUUUGCCAGUUCCUCUGCGCGACGAAGCUCUGGAGAGCCUUCUGAACUGUGUCUUUGAUGGGAACAGACAGAAAAUAUUUUAUUUUAGGAUUUGGGCUGAGCACAUCAGUUUGUAAAGGUUCUGUAGAUAUCUCUAACUCAAACUCUCGAUAUUUAAUACAGCUACUGUAAACAGAGUUAACAGUGACUUUUUUGUAUGUGGUGAAAUGGUACCAGUCAGAAAUUUUAACAAAUAUAAGUUUCUUUAAUUUUUCCAGUUAAGCAAAAGAAAACUGUAAUGAAAGUAUAAAAUGAAACAUAGGCAUUGAAUCCUAGUGAGGCUGUGCCCAAGACAAUGACUAACCCAGUUUGUAAUCCAGCCCUACUUGGUGGGCUCUGCCAUGUGAAAUUCAGCAUGUUUGGUUUCCUCUUUGAUCACUUUAAUCUGCAGUGUGAAUAGCAAUUUUUAGCCAGGGAUGAUGAUCCAUACCUUUCCUUCCAGUAAGCUGAGGUGGGAGGCUGAUGAGGACAGAGAUCAAGUUGCAGCCCACUCUGGACAAUUUAGAGACUUAGGUCUUUGAGGACCCUGCCUCAAAAUUUAAACAAUAAACAUACAAGAAGGAUGGAUGGGGAUGCCACUCAGUGUGAAGAUUCUGGGUUUGAUCUCCAGGAUGGCAAAAAGAAAAAACAAGAGAAAUUUUACCAGCUACCUGGUGUUUCAUGAAUUUCAAAUGAGUUAUUUCAAAGGACAAUAUUUGUCACUUAUUAUUUCAUAAAUGACAGCAAGUAUUAUCAUCUGUAAUAUUUAAAUACUUUGCUCAACACAUUAUAUUGGUUUUGCAAAUAAUUUUAUUUAAACUCUUUGUGUUUUGUGUAAUUCUUAAAUACUUACUGAUCAGAUUGUGUAAUUACUUGGAUUUUCGUUGAAUUCUCGAAGAAAAAGCUGAGCCCCAAGUUGAAAUAAUCACGUUUAGGAAUUUCAGUGUUUAUUUCCAUAAGCAUCUUUGAGUUCUGCUGACAGCAUCUGCAUUCAUCAGAAAUGCAAUUUUCCAUGGGAGAAAAGGUGUAUUUGACGCCUGCUUCCCGAGAGACCAUGACAUGGCAAAAAUUGUACCUCUGAGACUCAAGAGCGAGGCUGGAUUCACUCCAGGAAGCUGCAGCCGAAGCCAGAGGCCACAAGCCCAGGGGCUCAGUCGUGGGGAGCAGGGUUGGCUGUGCAGUUUGGUAACUGUCCUGACCCAGCAGGAAAGUGAGCUUUCUGCAACAGGAGUCACUUGCACAGCCUGCAGUUAGGUCUCUACCUUCCCAGACAAGCUGGGUGUGAUGGCCCUGGCCUCUCUGAAACCCACAUUUCAGAAGAAUGACGCCCAGGUCCUUUAGGAAAGAGCCCUGAGCAUCAGUAAAACUGUCCAGAAGGUAGAGCAGAGAGUUAUCUCAAGGGGGCCAAGAAAGAACUUACACUUUGUAGAUUCUCAAAGUAAACACUCUAAGAAAAAGAGGCAGGAGCCCAGCACCUGAGCAGUCACUUGGAAAACAACCAGAGGCUGCGUUGGUCAACCCCCCGGUCAACCCCUGGGGUAACUGUGGAUAACACAGACCCCAGCCUAUCUCCACCACUGUGGGGAACUGGUCCACAGUCAGCUGUGUUUUCCAGGAGCAAGGGCCAGGGCAGGGCUUGUAAACCUGGACAGGACACAGUGAAUUGGGGCAAGGCUCUCCAUGUGCAGAGAUCGAGGGUAGUGCAGGCUGGUGGACCCAGAGGUGUGGAGAGGAAGGUCUUGAUAGAUGAGCAUCCAGUGAUCAGACAUCAGCAUGCUGAGAAGGGCACUUUGAACCAGCUGCUGGCUUCAGAACAGCUGUUUCUGAAAGAAGCUGCUCUGCUCUCUGCAUGUGUACAGCUUUACCUGCUGCAAUGUGACUUCCAGGAGCACAGUGAGGUCUCAGCAUUGCAAGGGCCUCACUUCUUGGCCCUGGUAGUUCAACUACAGAAUGUCUUCAGGUCUUACUUCAUUGAUUAUUCCUGAAUAUGCAACUCUACAGAACUUUUAGAGAAAUUAAAAUAGGAGGGAAAGAUGAUUUCCAUUUCACUAGAAUUUCCCUGACUCAGCUUCCCUGAUGACAAAUACCACUAAGAGGAUCCUUAAAACUUAUUAUUAUCAUAUUAAUACACUUUUUAUUCUGAAAGGGAUUAUGGUCCAUUUAAAUGCACCAGUAACUUCCCUGAGUUGUUUGUUGAUUUACAGAUUAAUUGAGUCCUGGGCUCUAAAUCCCUCUUGGCACAUUAGAGGGACACUUGUAUUAAUGGACUGACCCAGUAGUUGUCUCUGCGGCCAGAGAGUUUCUGCCAGGUGAGUCCAGUUGGCUUCCCCAAGAUGAAUCUGUAAUCAUCCAUGAAUGGUAUUGAAUGCAAGUAUUCCCAAGUCCACGUUUCAAGUGGCAGAUUAAUUACAUGGCCCAGGAACGCUCUUCACUGUGAUGUGAAAGAGCAUCCUGCACCUUGCAGAUGGGUUGAUGCCCUUCGCAUAACCACAGGACACUUCAGAGUCCUUGCUUUUAGCCUGAGUGACUCGCUUGUCCUGCAUCAAAGUGAGUAGAUGAGAAUCCCACUCAGUAAAGACCAGAUAAUACAGGUUCGCGGUCCUUAACCUAAUUUCUUCUUAUUUUUGCUUCAUGGGAAGAACACAUGGUCAGGUGGUGAAGUUGAAGGUCAGAGGGCUGGUGGGGAGUGAGGGACUCUGUUCUCCUGUAUUGUGUUUCUAUCACACAGCACACGAGUCCUGAACAUUUGAUUUUGAAAUCACAUUUUGUGCCAUUUCAGUGAGAUAGGCAAUUUGUACACACAAAAUAGCACAUUAAACUUAAGAGACUUGUUACUCUUUGAGCGGUCACUGUUUAUAACUCAGAGGCUCCACCCAAAAGCUAUUCUAUGCAUUUAAAAUAUUUCAUUUUCCAAGGAUCUAACUUUCCAAAACUAAGUGUGUCACUUGCACACUGACUCAUUCUCCAAAAGAGAAUCACUGCUUACUGACCAGGUCCCCUUACUGUAUGGUGCACACUAUCCAGAGAAGGGCUGUCCAGGGACCUCAGGCUGUGGAAGACUUCUCCUCUCACCACCAACAAAACUGGAGGGAUCUGCACUGUGACACUGGGCAAAGGUUCCAGGGUGUGUUUGUCUGUGUUCCGUGUUCCUCUGCAGUUGUUUUAGCAGAACUCUGAAUUUCUCCUAGGGAGAAAAGCAGGUCCUCAGCACCAUGACUUUUUGAUUCAAUCAUGUGCAUUUCAUUCAACUGAAAGAGAAAAACAGUACCCUUGAGAAUUUCCAUAGCAGUAUCUGAAAUAAAGGUAUGUUAUUAUUAUGGGUAUUUUCAUCUCUUCAUUCCUCUGCUCUUCAAAAGCAUCUUUACAUCACUGAUUUGAAGAGUGAAAUUUGAUUACCCUAGAAAAUCUCCAAAGAAAUCAUGGUCAAGCACUUGAGGACAUCAGUGGGUUCACUGGACUGAACCCCUUAAGUAUGAGAACAAAAUGCUAAACAAGUAUGGCUCUGAUAUCUGGCAGUGAACUUCCAGGGCCCAGCGACUCAUCUCUGCCUUUCCCACUUCUGAUUAUCUUCUCUCAAGGUGCUCUGCAGUGAGAGCUACCAUUUUCCUGGAAUGUUCCAGGUUCAGGAUUCUUCCUGAAAUGACAAAAGAAACACUGCAAUGACACCCAGGAUUUGGAGGCAGGUUUAUUUAUGUUGACUGGCACUGAGGGGGAUCAUUCCCAGAAUAUCAGGCCCUGAUCUCUGGUGGCCUAGGGCUUUUAUAUGGUACACAAGCAGGAAGUACAAAAGUAAGACAGAACAGCCUGACAGUUUUUCUGAAUAGCUGGCAGGAUGAGAUCACCGGUGAGAAGGAUAGAUUAGUGAUCAUCAGUGUUUGAAGCUGGAUACAAUGGCACAAUCAAGCAUUCUGCAUGUUUGGUUACACUCCCAUGGUUACAGGGGUUAAGAACAUAGUUACAAAUCCAUGAAGCAGAUACAGAGCUAGGCAAUUUCGAAAGAACAAAGUUGUAGAAAGAACAAUUUCUCUUGUACAGUUUAUCCCUUUCAUUCCGACAUGUCCUUUAUCUGAUAAAUUGCCCUAGUUUGUGUUUCAGAAAAAUGUGAUAAAAUUACAUAAAGCAGUGCUCUAAUAUUAGGGGCUCUAAAAGAGAGAACGUAAACCAAUAUUUGCCUACUAAGCUAUAAUGAAGGAACACAAACGUUUGUUUUAUUUCCGAGUUCCUUUAUAUUAAUGAAAAUGCUUUCAUGUAAAGAACUGCCUUUGAAAGUGUGUAGAAUUAGAGAAUGCUUUCCAUUCCUAUGAAAUGUCGUGUUCCUACUGUUUAUGAGGAAAAAGCUUCCGCCUACACCGAGGUUGACAAUAACACAAUUAACACCUACCACUCCAUUACCUCCAUGCACCAGUAAUUUAACCUUAUGUCAAGUGUGUCCCUCUCUCUGUCUCUCUGAAGAGACUUGAAGACCUUGUUUCACUUCUCUCUUAAAUAAUUCAACACAUUUUGUUAAUUGCUAGUUGUGGUAAAGCAAAUAAAUACCAGUAUUGGAAAAGGUUGGACUAGGCAGUAGCUUGCAAGCAAAACCCACAGAAGUCCAGCAAACUUACAAAGCAACUGUGAAGCAGCUGCUGAAACAUUAGCAAAAAUCAUAAAAGUAUAGUUUGCAGAUUACAGUGUGCAUCUUUCUGCAUUUUUUGGAAGCAUAUCUAAGGUACCUUGCUCAGUUCUGAAUGAUGUCUUUGAAAAAGACAUGAGUCCACAAACUUGAGAUUUUUCAACUGCAAUUCAGAUGACUGCAGUGACACUUUAGAGCUGUAGUAAUAGACUAUGCGACCAUGUGACCAUCUGAUCACGUGAUGACAUGACCACGUAACCUCAUGAUGCAUACACACGUGCAACAUGAGACACAAAACCUAGUGGUCUAGGGGAUCCUAUUGCCUCCUGUCCAGGAGAAUUGAGCAACAUUACAGCGGGACUUGGAUAAAGGUGACAAUUUCACAAUAUCUUCACCUCUCACACGUGAUGGGGCUCUUGGAGAAAAGUUUUUCAGUUCUCAGAAUUUAUUUUCCUACUUGCUUUAGAAACUGUUCAUUACUAUAUUUAGCUUCCAGUUAUAUAAGCAAUAUAUAUUCAUUUCAAAAUCUUAUAUAAUACAGAAACAUAACAACAUAUGUAGUAACUUGUCCAUCAAAUUAAUUAAGAACAUUGUUAAUGACAUACCCCUUACAUAUAAAUAAGCACAUAUACUUAUAUACACAUAUUAUUUAUAAGUAUUAUAAAAUCACUUUCUCACAAUCAUUUCUUGUGCAUCCCUCUGUAUUAGUUUGUACAGAAUCAUAAGUGUGUGUGGGUGUUACUGAGAACCUGAACCAGGAAAUUUAUACAGAACUACUAUGCUAUGUCCCCAGUCCUUUAUUUUUAUCUAUUUACUUAUUUUUAGAUUCUUACUAAGUUAUUCAGGUUGGGCUAGAACCUGAGAACCUCCUUCUCAGGUGGAAUUACAGCUGUGUACCACCAAGCCAGGUUCAGAUCAGAAUCAUCUUUAUGCUCAUUAAUGUCUGCAUGAUAGUCUAUAGUGUGUGUGUGUGUGUGUGUGUGUGUGUGUGUGACAUAAUUUAUUUGCUAUUGGCCAUUAAGGGGCAUUUGGAUUUUCUUCUCUUCCUCAGUUUUACAAGUAAUAAGCCAAAAAAUAUUUUAUGUACGCAUGCGAGUAUUUCUGAAAGGCAGCAUUGUAGAAGUGGAGUUUUAAUCCAAUCCAUGUCUGUUUCCAUUGGUAAUGGAUUCUGCCUGAUCUUUGCCUUGUGCACAAAGGUGUGGCCCCUAUAUCUGAAGCCCCUCAUGUCCCAUCGCUGGGAUCGCAGAGAGAGGCUAUUUUGCCUGAGAGUAAAGAAAGUUUUGUUUUCCUUUUACCCAUGAAAUGCUUAUAGAGUUGAAUUGAAGCACUAAAAUGGUGAGGUUUUUCUGCACUACCUAAAUUGUCAAGCAGUAAAGAAAUUUAUUGAAAACUGGUAUUUCUCAAAAAGAGGGCAUACAAAUGCUCAAUGGAUCCAUUAAAAAUGCUCAGUGUCACCGAUUGUUGUGGAAAUGAAACUCAGAAGCCCCAUGAGCCAUCUUCUUACUGCAUUUAGACUGAGUUUUAACAAGAAGAUCAAGAACAGCAAACACUAGCGAGGGUGGAGGGAAAGGGAAACCCUGUGGCAUGCUGGCAGCAACAGAAAUCAGUGUGGUCGUUUUGCAAAACAAUGUGAAAUUUUCCUGAAGAAGCUGAAAGUAAAAGGAACAUGUGGCUCAGCAUUUCUGCUCCUGGAUAUAAAAACACAGGAAAUGAAAGCAGUGUGUCAGACACACAUCUGCCCUGGCACCAAAGCUCCAGUCACAGCUGCCGACAUGUGGAGUCAGUCUCAGGGCUGAUCAGUAGUCAGUAGCUCAACAUUCACAACGGAAUGCGAUUCAGCCAUAGAAAACCAUGAGGUCCUGUGAUGUGUGGCAACAUGGUAAACCCCACAUACAGGACACUGAAUGAAGUAGCGCAGAUACGGAAAGGCAAAUACUAAGUGCUCUUGCUCAUUUGUCAAUCUCAAGGAGUCUGGAGUAGAAGAAUGAUUACCAAAGGGUGGGAAAGACCCUGGAGACACCAUAGGAAGAGGCUGAUGGUGAGGGAGUUGCAGGUAAUGAGUGGUGGGAGCUGUUAAUCAGGGUGAUGGCCACUGACAAAUGACUUGCAGCGUGUUAUGAUUUCCCUGGGGAGAGAUGUUGGACGUUCUCUUCAGAAGCAAAGAUGGUUUGAGAGGUAUGGGUGCCAUAAGGGUAUCAGAACUCACUGCACCAUCUACCAAAAUAGCACACACUGCACCCCCAUAGAAAUGUGUAGCCAUGUGUCAAUUGAAAUUAUAAAACAGGCACAAGAGAUAGUGCAGGAAUAACUGUAUGUAAAAACCGCAGAAAUUGAGUUAGUGACCAUUAGAUCCUCCCAGUUAACAAUGAUUCCACCCUCUUUUGUUUUAUUUUUGACAAUGAUUUUGAAAUUCAGUGCAGCCCCAAAUACUGAUUUAUAGAGCCUUAGAGACAUGCCAUAUAUUUGCCUCGAUUAAAAAGAUAUACUUCACAUCCAUGUGGUAGGUAUUUUUAUCUUAUUCUGACAUGUAUUUGGACAUAUAGAAAUCACAAGCUUAUCUUGUAAAUUUUAAAUGUACACGCUCAUUGUGUGAUGUAUAAGAAACAUGUAUGAAUAACAUUACCCUUGGCCUCUCAAUCAAAGACUAAUGCCAAAGAAUUUCUAUGAGCUCAGGUAAAAAAACAAGAUUCUAGUCUAAAACAGAGUAUCUUGCUGAUUAGGAAGAAUUUAUAACACUUUUCUCAUGACCAUGAUUUUUAAGCACAAAGUUUUUAAACUAUAUUUGGGAGAAAAACUAGGUAUCCCUCUGGAAGUAAAACCUCUCUGAAAUCAAGAUACAUAUUUUAUGAUAAAAUUUUCACAUGAAAACUUACUAAAAAUUCAGCAAGACAUGGAAACCUUCAUAUAUUUUCUAGUCAUACUGUUGUAUAUUUACUUAAGAAAAAAACAUAUUCAUUUCAGUGGCCAGUAGAACUUGUGUUAGACUCUUUUCACUCAACACUGUACAGAUACUUCUUUCAAACAAUCACCUCCUUCACGCUUCAGACUUUAUAUCUCCUUGUUUCCAAAGUCUUUUAAAAUUAUCAAUUUUUAUUAUUAACUACAUUUUAUUUCUUCUUUAUAAUCCCAUCAGCUCAGUUACUCAUCAGAAAGUCUAGGUGCUUAAGCGCUGCAGUUCUAAAAGUGUAUCAGGUCAGAAGAGGAGGGAGUGGCUCUGGGGUAGGGCACUCUCAGCAGUGGCAAGCCCUGGGGGUCAAACUUCCCUCUUCUGUAUCUACCUCCAGGACCACACCCCUGCCCACACCCACGUCUACCUGUAUAUCUCCAUCUCCAUCUAUAUCCAUAUCCAUAUCUACAUAUCUACAGCCAUACACUCUCAUAUAUAUAUAUAUAUAUAUAUAUAUAUAUAUAUACACACACACAUAUGUAUAUUUAUGAUAUGCAUGUUGAAAAUAAAUCAACUGACUUUUUACUUCAUUGUAUUUGUAUAUUUUUCUUUCUUUUGUUUCAUUAAUUUUUAAUUAGUACAGAAUUAUAUUACACAAUAGUGUUUCAGUUCCUGGUAAGGAAACGUGCAUGUAUAUAAUGUACCCUAAUUUCUUUCUUCCUCUGCUUUCUCUUCUCUGCAUUCCCUCCCUGUGAAUUCUUUGACCCUCUUCCUUAUUCUGGUGCACAUUUGUAAUGCCAAGGGUUGUCAUUCCAUGUGUGGAAUUGGUGUAAACACUUAGCACAUCCAAAUCCCUUUGGUACCCCGUAUCUCUCCUCUCCCUCCUCACUCUGUAUCACAAAUAUUGCAUCACAUACUAUUACAUAUUGCAAACAAAUAUUCGGUUUGUGUUUAUUCUCAUUGUAUUCCCACAGCUGCAGUGACAGAGUAGGUCCGUUAUCUGGCUCUCUUGAGAUGCCAAUGUCUGGAUUGCCUGGGGCUCAUCAACACAUUGUGACCUGGCCCUGGAGGUCUGGGUGUUGGGCUAGAGAUGCUGCACCUCAAGAAUAGAGGAGGUUGGAUCUGGGGAUUGGAGACAAAAAGCAAUUUAUUUUCCUCGUAAUGACUAAUUUUAAAGAGAGGAAAGCUCAGCCACCACACUAGCUCAACCAACCACAGGCAGCAGGGCAGUGGACAAGAUGCAGCCAGAGGGUCCCAGCAGCACAUCAGGUCCCAGGUUGCACAGUGGAGUGACCUGUUUCUUCUCCAGGUAUUAAUGUUUGUGAGGGUAGCAGCACAGCUGUAUAUUUGUCUUGACCUGUAAAUAUCUAUUGAAUGGAACUAAAUGGAGUGGCGUCCAUUUCCCUGUGGAUAAUUAUAAGGAAAUUGUUUAAUUUACUGUUGAAUUAAAGGGAGAAAGGAUUCACCACAGUUCACCAGAGUGUUUGGCGCCUUCCUCCUUUGAAUUGGGAAACUCAUCAGUGAUUUGAAUCCUAUCUGUAUUGCCAAAUGCACGUCUGUGGUGUGCGGCAGGGCAGCGGGCAGGGCUCUGGUCAGUCCCUUUACACUAGUUCUUCCCUGUGACUGUCCUAGAGUGUUGACUGCUAAAUCAUGUAGCAGUUUUACUGAGGGCUGAAACAAAGUAUCUGACUUUUCAGUGAUCUCCCCUGCUUCUUAUAGAAUGAUUUCCCUCACUAAAUGCAGCAUUUUAAAUUUCCAUUUCUUAAUUUCUAGUUAAUUUUCAUUAAUCAGUAAAAAUUAUGCUAGAAAAAUCAGAAGCUAGGAAUGAAGUUUGUAUGAUGGACCAAAAAUGGGUUGGUGCCACAGGAACCCUCAAACCCAGGAAGUGAGGUCAAGAGCACUGCUCUGUAGGAAGAUCGUGGAAGUUUUAUUAUAUUUUAAAUACAAAUGCAGGAAUGUAAAGUGUUCAGAAUCCUUUACAGAACCAGUGAAAUAUUUUAAACCUAUGCCAAGUGCCAAAACUGUACAGAUUUCAGUUUCAUAUUGGUCACUUCUGCUUGUAUCAGCAGUGCCACCAGACCUCAUUUACGCCCAUGCCAGUAUGAAAUGGAAGAAACUGAUUUGAAAAUCCAGAUUGUAAGGGACAUAUAUGGCUCCAUGUGUGCCUAACAUGUGUGUUCAAAGAAACUGUUGAAGUAGGAGGUGAAAAGAAUUGUAACGAAGUUUAAGCGGUCAAAGAUUCCGAGAGAAGUUUUGGUGGAAGAAACAGUCAAUCACGUCUGUGAGUGGUCACUAUGUAAAGUUGUCCCUUGAGGUAAGCACAAUACGGGCACAGAGCAUUAAAACUAAAAAAAAAAAAAAAAAAAAAAACCUCCCCAAGACCGAAAGAAAAGUGGUAUAUUACAAGACGUCCUUUCCCCAAACCUUGCUAGAUUAGCAGAUUUCCCACAAGCCAAAGCCUUUUCCUGGAUGACCUCAGUACUGUUUUCCUAUCUCAGUUUAAAUGAUGGGCCCCUGAAAAGGCAGCUGAUUUAGUUCAACUUCUGCAUCUACCUGAAGUGGAGAAGGUAACAAUUAGGAAUCGGUAGAAUUUAUGCCACUUCUUUUCUGUGUGCUCAGGGACAAAAUGGAGGGCCAAUGUGAGGCCCAGCUGGACACGGGAAGUACCUCUGCCCACUUGCGUUUGCUUUGGAUUCUGGGAGUCUUGGUUAGCAUUGCUUGAGAUUUGUUAUUCCUGAGUCCCAUAGCCAACUGGGACUGUGUUUCUUCCACCUCAGUUUCUGCCACCACCAUUCUUGUCCUUAGUACCUUACCGGGAUGUUACAUUCCUGACCUUGAUCCUGGCUGUGGUCUGAAUGUGUGCCCAUCUAAGUUUCGUAUGUUGAAAUCUACUCUCCAGUGUAAACACGCGGUGCCGGGUCCUCUGGGAGAUUAGACCCCUACAGAAUCCUCAAAAUGGCUUUAGUGCUUUUAUUUUAAAAAAAUGAAAGAAAGAAAAAAAAGAGGCUAGAGGGUACUUGUACACUCUAGAAAAGGCAAUCUGUGAAGAAUUCACCCCUAUCAGAUUCACAAUGUGCUAGCAUCAUGAUCUUAGACUUCCCAGGAUCCAAACGCAUAGUCCUACCUAUUUAUAAAUUCCCUAUCUGAGGUGUUUUGUUCGGGCAGCUGAGAUACACUGAGAACAAGCCCAUGUUCCAUUUAAUGAAUACACAUGCAUGUACUGUUAACUGAGAGAAACAAACAUGCUGUUAAUAACCGUGGUAGCUUUUCAUCCUCAGUAUCUAGCUUAGUAUACAUCACACUAUCCACAUCUAUAGUAUCUGUAAAGUUUUAGGCCUAUAAUUUGUGCCACUGAUAAAAAAUAUCUCUUGCCAUAUCUGCGGUUUGAUUUGUUAGGUGCAAAACAGACCAGUGCUUUGCUCGACCACUGCAUUCCAUGUAUGUCCGGCAGAAAUUGAACUAGACGCUCAGAAGCACCUUUUAUGGAACAAAAGACCCAGAGAAAACAUGAGCAUCUUAUGCCCGAGCUCACCUCUGCAACAAUACCCUGGGUGUUGGCUAUUCUUUUAGCAGAAGGUGCCAUGUCUCAGGAUGCUGGAGAUGUGUAUGUAAUUAGAAAAAUCACUGAAUGUUACAUAAAGAGCCAAUAGACCUGCUGCGGAGCACCGGUCUCGGCUUUCUGUAGGGACCUGGAAGGGCUGGUGGAGAGACAGGUGCUCUGGGGAGACAGGUGGGGGCUUGUGAGCCCCCAGAGACGUCUGCAUUUCUUGCCUUUUAAUUUAUCAUCUUGUCACCCUCCCAGUCUUGCCUUUCUGGGGUUGAGAUGAAAGAAAUGAGAUAUAAAGGAAUAUUCAUUUCACUUUUUAAUUAAACAUUUGGUUUGGUUCCAGAAUACUAGAUUCCUGUUCACAUGCACGGAAAGAAUGUCACAAAAGCAGCAAACUGGCUUAGGAAGGAUUUUCUUUGCACACAAGGGACUUGCACCGACUUUGGCUUCAGCAGGGGGGGGGGAAACCCUAUAUAUCAUUUAUGUCUGAAUCUCCAUCUGUCUGUCUCUCUGUGUCUUUAUCUAUCUGCUUACAGGGCCUAUGUGGUUUUUUCUACAGUGCAACCAGAAUGAAAAUGUUAGUUGAGCCCAUUCAGUUUAAAAAAAAAAGUGCAGUGUACCAUAAGAGUACAUUACUACAUGUUAUUUUGGUCUCUGAUAAAAAGUUUUAUUCUAUGCAUUUUUUGCCUUAUAGCAUCUUCUUUUAUGCUUAGGCUGAAAAAUCUUUUCUUAUUAGACACUGACAAAAUGAUUUACUAUAUCUAUUUUUGCAUUUUAUUUUAAAAUGUUUCAUCAGUUCAUAAUUUAUGAGCUCUAGAAUGUGAAAAGAUCAACCUUAAAAAUCACUCCUGCUUCUUGUUGCUCUGUAUCUCCUCUCUGGCGAAGUGCCUCUUGACAUUUUGACAGGCCAUAUAUUAAUUGGGUUGUGUGUUUUGUUUUCCUGUUGUUGAACUUUAUGAACCUUGUGCAUAUUGUGGACACCAGGGAUUAUAAAAUCAGGUAUGUGCUUUGCAAAUAUUUUUUCAAUCCCAAACUAGUUUGAAAAUAUUUAACACUGUCUUCAUAGAGCAGAACUUUCUAAUUCUACUGAAGUCUGCAUUAUGAUUUUGUUUUCUUUCCUGGACUAUGUUUGGGUCAUCGUAUCUGGAAUCUCAUUGCCAACCCCAAAGCCAUCAAUUAUGACAAGCUAUUCUGUUAAUAUGAGGGAUCACGACGAGGAAGGUACAGGGAUGGUGCACAGGAAAAGUGAUGCCUGCCGAAAGUUUCUGUAAAUCGGAACCUGUUCGUAUUGUCCUCACCAACAGUAAUCAUUUGUGGGGUUAAAAACACCUCAGAAAUAGUUCCUCCUUGCACACUGAGAUAUGGUUUUUUUCAUACACCAACAGUCGGUGCUUCCUCCAGGCUUCCUUUUACUUUCUCUGUGUACUGUUCAUGUGCUUCUUAGAAAUUUUUCAUUUAAAUUUUGGAGAAAGGGUAAAUCAAAAUGAUUUUUCUUUAUUAGCCUCCGAGCUAUGUUAAGGUUCAGGGAAGUUUUCAAGUGUUGGAUAUCUUCCUGUCUGGCUUCCUUACCAUUGGGGCUUAUUCCAACCUACCCACCCGCCUCCACCCUCUCCCAUCCUGCCUCAUGGGCCAAGCCUGGCCUGACUUUACCCAGGAUACACUUCCUUCACAGGAUAGGUGCCUGCUUCUGUCCUGGCUCUUCCCAUCUGCCCCCUCUUCAAGGUGAUGUACAGCUUCUUUGGUCACUCUUGCUGUGUGGAGACUCAACUGCAGCUUUACCCCACCCUGAAUCUAUACCUGGUCUCCUCCAGCCAGGGAUGUGCCCUUGGACUCCACCAUGGUGGCUCCACAGCUCUCUUUUGGUCACAUGUGCCAUCUAGUCACCUAUUUGUCUGUUCUGAUCACCUAAACCUGAAUCGUUUUUCUUACAUAAGAAACACUUUUCAUUUGUUUUCCUAAUAUUGUGUCUCAGAGGAAGUCAGCAUUAAGCAGAUGUUUUGUGAUACAGAGAAUAAAUAAACAAUGCAGAGUAUUUCCCUCCUCUGUGUUUUGGCUCUCUCCUCUGGUUAUUGAGAGCCACACAGAAAGCGGGGUACAGAGUGUGAGUGGUAGAGAUUAUCGGUUACAUAACAUGCUGUGAACGGCCUACAAAGACACACACAACAUAGAAAUAAGUAAGAGAGGUGGAAACAACAGCUGUGUUUACAUUUGCAAGUAUCUUUCCAGAAGUACCACUGUUUACAGUUGCACACAGGAAAAGUAAAUGGGGACACAGGUUGCAAAAAAAAAAAAAAAAAAAAAAAAAAUCAAUAAAUGAAA